GGUGGCCUUCUCACUGCUUGGGACCCAAACGUUUUUUCCCUGCAAAACCAUUUUUGUAAACCCUACACUAUCACCUGUGAGUUUGCUUGCAACCUCUCCAACACCGAUUUCACUGUGACAAACACGUAUGGUCCUUCGGACCACACCUUUUCUCCCCACUACCUUCAAUGCCUGCUGGAACUGCCGAGCCUAAUUCAUAGUGCUUGGAUUCUAAUCGGUGACUUCAACCUUGUUAGACACCCCAGUGACAAAAACAACGGCCAGAUUAACUCUUCCCUAACCAGUGCUUUCAACUCCACGAUAAAUGACCUUUGUGUCAACGAGAUCGACCUUUCGGACAGGCUUUACACCUGGACCAACCUUCAACCCUUUCCCAUCCUAGCUCGCCUGGACAGGGCUUUCGCCAACAACCAUCUAAACCUCCUUUUCCCUAUUGCCACUCUGUCCUCUCUACCAAGACCCACCUCGGAUCAUAAUCCGCUGCUGCUAUCCCUAAAUACAAAAAUUCCUAAAGCUCAAUUCUUCAAAUUUGAAAAACAUUGGCUUCACCACCAGACCUUCCUUCCUUCCAUCCUUGAGAGCUGGCGUUCGGUGGCCGACGUCGGCGAUGCGGCCGGACAGAUUGUCGCCCGUAUCAAGUCGGCCAGGGCUAAGGCAAAGGUUUGGGCUCGGUGUAACAGGGCACCCCCUUCUAUCCUUAAUAACUGCCGUUUUAUCACCCAAUUAUUCGACUUCUUUGAAGAAUUUCGAAACCUGUCGACACAAGAAUUUCAGGUUCGCAGCCAAGCCAGGCAUAUGCUGCAGCAACAUAUCAGAAUGAAGGCAGCCUACUGGAAGCAGCGAAGCAAACAGAAAGUUAUCAGAGAGGGCGACUCCAACACGAGAUUCCAUCAUGCCAAUGCAACCCAAAGACUCAGAACCAACUACAUCAGAGAGGUUCAGGUUGACGGGCAACAAAUUGUGAACCACGCUGGAAAGGUGGCUGCUCUGACGGAUUACUUCUCAUCCAUCAUUGGGGUCCAGGGAAGCUGCCAGCCGUUUGAUCUCAACGAGCUAUACGCGGGGUCUUACUGCCCAAGCGCAAACUUAACUGAACCUUUCUCUGCCAAUGAAGCGAAGCAAGCUCUGUUGUCCAUGAACAUGAAUAGUGCUCCUGGCCCGGAUGGUUUCGGGCCGAUGUUCUUCAAAGCGGCCUGGGAAACGGUUCAAACAGACAUCCACAGACUGCUGUGUGCAUUCCACCAGGGUGACAUCGACCUUCAGCGACUGAAUAGAUCUCACAUGGUCUUGAUCCCUAAGAAACCUGGGGCUGUCGAGGUCAAUGCGUUCAGGCCGAUUGCCCUUCAAAACUGCUGCCUGAAAAUCAUUUCCAAGGUUCUGACAACAAGGCUGCAACUUGAAAUCCCUAAGCUCAUUGACCUAAAUCAAACUGGCUUCAUCAAGGGAAGGUCCAUCACGGACACUUUUGUCUAUGCAAUGGAAUUAGUUCAAGUUUGCCAUAAAAGGAAAAUGCCGGCAAUUGUUCUAAAGCUGGACUUUGCAAAGGCUUUUGACACAGUAAAUUGGGAGGGUCUUUUUCAGGUCUUGAGGGCAAGGAACUUCACUGACACUUGGAUCCGGUGGAUCAGGUGCCUGUUGUCUUCAGCGUUAUCUGCUGUUCUUGUCAACGGGUCAGCUGGCCCCUGGAUCACCUGCAAGCGUGGGCUACGACAAGGGGACCCUUUAUCCCCAUACCUGUUCUUAAUCGUUGUUGAAACCCUGCAAUGCCUCAUCAGACGCUCGCAGAGGAUCAAGCACCCAACUGAGCCUGAUCUCCCUUGUGCAGUGCUACAGUACGCUGAUGACACACUUCUCGUGUUCAAAGGAGACGUGGAAGGUGCCUCUGCUGUCAGGGAAAUUCUAGACUCUUUCGCAGCUGCCACUGGUCUGCACAUCAACUACAGCAAGAGCACUCUAGUGCCGAUUCACAUGGCGGAACAGGAAGUUAGUGUCUGUGUUCAAGCGAUCGGGUGCUCGAGGGGGGGUUUCCCCCAAACGUACCUUGGAUUGCCGCUGUCAGUAAGCAAAUUGCCACUUACCGCCUUCACCCCCUACAUCCAAAAAACUGACAGAAGGCUAAGCUCAUGGCAGGCAUUCCUUCUAAACAAGAUGGGCAGAGCCGUGCUAAUUAACUCUGUACUCGAUUCACAGCUGGUAUACAUCAUGGGCUCGCUACAAAUCCCUUCUGGGGUAGUUUCUCUAAUGGAUAAAACCAGGAAAGCUUUUCUCUGGGCUGGAGACAAAUCGGGGAAGGUGCCUCCUGCCUCCUGCCUUGUCGCCUGGACUAAUGUGUGCAACCCGAAAGAGCAAGGUGGUCUUGGGAUCAGAGACAUUGGCAUCCAAAACAUUUGCUUGCUGCUCAAACUCCUCCAUAGGCUUCACUGUCCCCAGUCGUCAGCCUGGUCAUCUUGGGUCAAGAAUAAGAUCUCCUUGGCAAACUUGCAAGGAGACGUCCAUGGUGACCACUGGACUACACUUAGGCAGCUUCUGCCUCUCUACCAAGCUAUCACCACGGCGAGCGUGGGGAACGGUGAGUCGACUUCCUUCUGGCAUGAUGUAUGGCUGGAAGAUGAUGCGCUUGCAGAUGUAUACCCGGCUCUCUUCAGUCACUGCAAACUUCAGUCGGCCUCCGUCAAAGAAAUCAUUAAUGUUGGCAUUCAGAACACCAUGGUUCCUCGGCUAACAACAGCUGCUCAACAAGAACUGCGGGAUGCCCAGGAAGCGAUAAGCAGUCUGCACCUAUCAGACCAAAGUGAUGCCAGGAAAUCGGUGUUCGAAAGACAAGAAUGCAGCCUGGACAGCGGUGCCAUUUACAAGAUGAUCAAGGCAAAAACCCAACCCUCUAGCCCCAAGGCCAAAUUCAUCUGGGAAUCAUACGCUCCUCCACGCGUCCAACUCUUCAUGUGGCUGUUAACUAGGGGCAGGAUCCAAUGCAGAACGGUUCUCUUCUCCAAAACCGUGGUUGACGACCCGACUUGUGAAAUUUGUCGGGCUUCUGAAGAAUCUGUAGAUCACAUCGUUUGUGGGUGCAACCUCGCUGGUCAGCUGUGGCAGAGGCUGCAGAUACAAGUAAACCCCGGGGACCUGGACAUCAUUCACUCAUGGUCUCCCCCACCAACCAUCCCGCGAGAGGCUUUCUCCUCCUUCCUGGCAAUUUGCUGCUGGCAACUAUGGAAAGCAAGAAACGCUUUCAUCUUCAGAACGGAUACUACCAGCGUUCAAGCACUACUCCUGCAGUGCAAAAACGCCGCGAACCAGUGGGCCUUCAGACUUCCGGCAUCCAAGAGGCAAAUCACACAGGCUUGGGCACUCGCCUUCCAGCAGGCGAGGCAGGGUGAAGGUUAACAGUCUUCACUAGUCUAAACGAUGUUUCUUUCUUCCUCUGUGCUAAGUGACCCUAGUGUACGCCUGUCCAGGUGCACCUUGUACAAAAGAUCUAUGUAAACUAAUUUAGAGGCGUUUUGGCCCGUGAGUAAUACAAAAUUCAGGUGGGGAGCGACACCCCCCCGUUGACCGUCAAAAAAAAAAAACAUUGGAAAUAUAAAUCAUGAAUAACUUUUAAGUUGUUGAAUUUGGAAAUAUGAAAACCAUAUGAAUAGAUUUGUCUUGAAAAGGUGCUCUCGUGGGUGACUGGUUACUGGAGCUUGCUCUCAGUUAGGAGACCCAGGUUCAAGCCCUGCAUCCUCUUAAUUGAAAAGCGGGGGUGCAAUCUGCUCCUUCCCGUCAAGUUUUUUUAGAUUUGUCUUGAAAAAUACUUUCAUAAAAGUAUAUAUAUACCACUUUUUGAUAAAUAUUUUUAUAAAAACAAGGAGUCAAAGUGAGGCUUUGGAGACCGUGUCGUUAUCCUAAACGACUUCUUUUAUGGGUAUGGAGGGAGUAUGCUUUAGUGCGCUAUAAACUCUCUACCAUGUAUGUUCAGCUUGCAUGCUUAAUUACAAAUAAUGCAUGAAUCUGUAUUUAGCUCAUUGUUAUUCCAUAUCAGUUAACGGAUCAGCUAAUCAGCUAGUGAAAAUUGCUUCUGUGCCAGAUAACAACUCAUUCUGCCACAUGAUAACUUAUUCUCCCUUCUAUACCAUCAGCCAUUACUUUGCAAAAAAUUCAUACCUUCCAAGUUAUUGCCAUCACUUCACUAUUAGUUUAGCUAUUAAGUAAUACAUACAGGUCAUUUUUACCUCCCUCAUCAUUUCCCAGAAAUCAGAACAAAAAAUAAGAAAGGCCUCACUAUGAUGCCACAAUGUCAUUCUUCUCUCUCGCACAUACACUUGGACCCCAUCAGUAAUAUAGCCUUCUUAUAUUUCCCCAGAAAGUAUGAUGAGUGGCAAAAUAAAUAAAUGAUCUUUGCAUACUUUCAUUGACCAUUAAUUUAACAAAAUGAUUGUAUGGAGGAUAUGGAUUAUUUGAAAUCAUGGCCAAUAAGGGAGCAUGGCUUAUUUGGUAGUAGAUUGUGGACUGAGGAGUUUAUCAGUGGCAUGAAAGUAUUUUAUUUUUCAAAGAAACUAACAUUUGAACCUUAUCAGGUGUUUCACUCUGGUAUACCAAUUACUCUUGUUCCUCUUGAUGCGACAAAUACAAUUCCAAUCAACAAAGAAUUCUUCUAUGAAUUUGAGCAUCGUCAGGGUACUUAUGAGGCACAAUACUGCUUCAAGUCUUUAAAGAUGGCUCGUGACACAUGGUUUAAUGACGAAUUCUAUACAGUAAGUUCAUGCAAUUUGUUCCAUCUCAUUUCGUAUAUAUUUCUUUGUGACUGUUACUUGUUUUUCUUUAUUCAUGUUUCUUGUAUUUCCUUGUUCAGAGCUAUUUUAUGUGGGAUUCUUUUACCUCCGGUGUUGCCAUUUCCAGCAUGCGCAAUGAUAAGAAUGGUAAAUAUGGAAACGAUUUUGCUCAGCUUGAAUAUAUGAACAUUACAGUAGUAACUUCAAACAAACCAUAUGGUGUGUAUGAUGGCUCAAACCCAUUAUUCGAUGGUCAUACUACUCCCAAGUUUGGUCUUCAAAAGGUUGGAGUUCAUAGUGGUCAUGUUCAAACUGGGAUUACAGAUAACUUCUGUCGUGUCAAGGGCAGUAAUAAAGGAAGAUGCGAGGUACUAUAUGGCCACCAAAUAGUUAUUAUGGACAGCUGCAUAGUUCUUUUCCUGAUGAAAAAAUUAUUGCUGAUAUCCAUUAACUUCAUAGAAAUUCUGUCAACUUCCUUCAGUACUUACCUCUGUUAUUUUGUUAUGAUAUCACCAGACAGGUAGAGAUAACAUGUAAAAGUAAAACAUAAUUAUAUUAUAACUCUUUGAUUUGAACAUACUCCAUCUUAAAUUAUAAGUCAUUCCAAGAAUCUUGGAGAGUCAAAGCAUCUCUGUAAGACAUAAUCUGCAGCUAAACUUUUCUGUUUUGUUAAUGAUCAUAGGCAGGCAAUAGGUCAGCUCUUGGUCACAUAGGAGUAUGGCAAUAGGCCACUCUAGUACAGUAGUUGGUAGAACCAUACAUCAGCCAUACUUGGUAGGAGGAUGAUGUAUGCAGUGUACUAGGAGUAGUUGGGGCUGUACCCAGCCAUGCCUUGUGUACCUUAUAGUUGGUACAAGGCUUGUAUAUAUACACCAUGUAUGCAAUGAAGCAAAGGCAGUUUUAGUGCCACAUAUUUCCUGGGUUCAGGUUUCAGCCAAGACUGAAACCGUGUGUGAGUGUGUGUGCCUGAGCUCGGCUCAUCUUCUACCUUGGGUCAGGGGAGAGGAAGAGGGAAGGUGAGCAGGGUCUGCUUACCUGGUGCCUGUGUGCAGGUGCCAACAAUUGGUAUCGGAGCCGUACAAGCCGUGUGCUAGGUCCAUCGACCGGCGAUGGCGGACGGUGCGGCUCGGAACGGUGGAGGGGAGGGCGCGGAGCGUCAGCUCCAGCCGGCGCCACCGCAGGUGGAGGUGCGCGUGGUGAAGGAGUUCGGCGGCAGCAGCUCCUGGCCCAUGCUCACCCGCACCAACUACGGUGAGUGGGCGACGCAGAUGAAGUGGAAGCUGCGCGCGCGGAAGUGGUGGUGGGCGAUUGAGGAAGAUGAUCGCACCGAGGACGCCCAGGUGGGAGUCAUGGAGGCGCUCAUGGCCUCGACGCCGGCGGAGUACCACGAGGCGCUGGGCGCCAAGGACACCGCGAAGCAGGCCUGGGAGAUGCUGGAGUCGCUGCGUGUCGGCUCGGACCGAGCCAAGCGGGCCAGGAUCCAGCAGCUCCGCAGGGAGCUCAACGACAUCAAGUUCAAGCCCGGAGAGUCGGUGGAGGAGUACACUCUCCGUCUUCAAUCUCUGGCCACGCAACUGGCCACCUACGGGAAGAAGGUGGACGACGAGGACCUCGUCACCAAGCUGCUGUGCACCGUCCCGGCCAAGUAUUCGCAGCUUGCCAUGUCCAUUGAGAUGAUGUUGGACAUCUCCACAUUGUCUCUGGAGGACGUGGCUGGGCGGCUGCGAGUUGCAGAGAGCCGCAUCACGCCGGCACCGGAGAAGGAGAAGGCCAAGCUACUCCUGACGGAAGAGGAGUGGACCGCGCGCAUGAAGGACAAGCGCCGGACCGGGGAAGCCUCCUCCAGCCGCGGCGGUGAUGGCGCCAAGGGGCGCGGGAAGCCGCCGGCGGACAAGAAGAAGAAGAAGAAGAACACCGACCCCAACGCCUGCAGGCGCUGCGGGAAGGUGGGGCACUGGGCACGAGAAUGCCCAGAGAAGAAGCCGGAGAAGAAGGAAGAGGCCCACCUAGCUCGGGACGACAGCGACGACGAGUGCGCUCUGUUGAUGGGGGAGUAUUGCGCGCUGCAGGAAGGCGAAGCAGGGGAGGCGGAGGCGGAGCAGGGGACUGCGCCGCAGGCCGUCGAACUUGACAAGUCUCGCGCGCGCGUCCUCCUUGGAGCGGACGGUGAAGAGCUGGAGCAGAGGUGGUACCUCGACUCAGGUGCGAGCAACCACAUGACAGGGAGCCGCACCGCCUUCUCCAACCUCGACGAGUCAGCCACCGGAAGCGUGAAGUUCGGGGAUGGCUCAAAGGUGCAGAUUCGCGGCCGCGGCACCGUCCUCUUCCGGUGCCGGAACGGCGAGCACCGUGCCUUGACGGAUGUCUACUACAUCCCUCAGCUGCGCACCAGCAUCGUCAGCCUGGGACAGUUGGACGAACGCGGCAGCGAGGUCCUGAUUCGCGACGGGGUGUUGCGGAUCAGGGACAGGGAGCGGCGUCUUCUCGCCAAGGUAUCGCGCUCCCGUAACCGACUCUAUCUUCUGGAUUUGAAGGUAGAGCAGCCCGUAUGUUUGGCGGCGUCGUGCAAGGAGGAGCCCUGGCUGUGGCAUGGCCGGUUCGGCCACCUUAGUUUCGACGCGCUGGGCCGUCUUGGGAAGAUGGUGACAGGGCUGCCGGCGAUCCAGCAUGUCAGCGAGCUGUGCGACAGUUGCCUGGCAGGGAAGCAGAGGAGGCUGCCGUUCCCGAAGACCGCUAGGUACCGCGCGGCGGAUCCGCUUGAGCUGGUCCAUGGGGACCUUUGCGGGCCGAUCACGCUGGCGACGCACGGCGGGAGGAGGUACUUCCUCUUGCUCGUGGAUGACUGCAGCCGGUACAUGUGGCUGCAGCUCCUGACGAGCAAGAGCGACGCGGCGGAGGCGAUCAAGCACUUCAAGGCGCGCACGGAGAUGGAGUCCGGGAAGAAGCUGAAGGUGCUUCGGACUGACCGCGGCGGUGAGUUCACGGCGGCUGAAUUCACCACGUACUGCGCCGAGGAAGGAGUAGGGCGUCAUCUCACAGCCCCCUACUCACCGCAGCAGAACGGUGUGGUAGAGCGCCGGAACCAGACCAUCAUCGGCAUGGCGCGGUCUAUGCUGAAGGCGAAGGACAUGCCGGCUGAGUUCUGGGGAGAAGCCGUGAGCACAGCAGUGUUCAUCCUGAACCGUUGCCCCACCAAAGCGUUGAAGGGGCAGACUCCAUUCGAGGCUUGGCACGGACGCAAGCCGAACGUCGCGUUCCUACGCACGUUUGGUUGUGUCGGCCAUGUGAAGACCACCAAGCCGGGCCUCACAAAGCUGGAAGACAGGAGCACCAAGGCGGUGUUCCUCGGCUACGAGGAGGGAUCAAAGGCCUAUCGGCUCUACGAUCCGGUCGGCGGAAAGGUGCUGGUGUCACGAGAUGUGGUGUUCGACGAGGCGGCGGCGUGGAAAUGGGACCAGGCGGAAGAGCAAGGAGGUGGUGGGCUUGGCGACACUUUUGUCGUGGAACACAUGACGAUCCACGGCAGGGAAGAAGGGUCAGAAGGGCCAGCAACCGGGGAAGCCGGUGCCACUGCAGCUCCAGAGGUGGAGGAGCCACCAAGUCCAGCGACAGCUGGAACGCCAGUCCACUCCCCGGCGGCUGGGGUGGGAUCCCCUGCCUCGCCGGGGCUGGCAACGCCAGCGGCCGGAGACGUCGAAUUCGCCACACCACCAAGUGACUACACCGAGUUCGUGGAUGCUUACCACGACGGCGAGGAGGUCCGUUUUCGCCGAAUCGAGGGCAUCAUCGGGGAAGCAGAGGUGCCUGGGGUCGCAGCACGGCUGCUCGACGACGACCCUGAGCUUCUGCUGAUGAGCAUAGAAGAGCCCACAUCCUUUGCCGUGGCGGAACGCGACCCAAAUUGGCGGCGUGCCAUGCUGGAGGAGCUGCGGUCCAUCGAAGACAACCACACCUGGGAGCUGGUUGAUCCGCCGGCGGGAUGCCGGCCGAUUGGCCUCAAGUGGGUGUACAAGGUCAAGAAGGACGAGUACGGCACGAUCGUCAAGCACAAAGCGCGGCUGGUGGCCCGUGGCUUUGUGCAGCGCGAAGGCAUCGACUUCGAGGAGGUGUUUGCGCCGGUGGCGCGCAUGGAGUCGGUGAGAUUGCUGCUGGCACUCGCAGCAGCCAAGGAUUGGGGCGUCCAUCACCUCGACGUCAAGUCGGCCUUCCUGAACGGCGAGCUGGCGGAAGAGGUUUACGUCAAGCAGGCGCCAGGCUUUCAGGUGAAGGGGGAAGAGAGCAAGGUGCUUCGGCUGCGGAAGGCGUUGUAUGGCCUGCGGCAGGCCCCGCGGGCAUGGAAUGCCAAACUCGACGCCACCAUGGCGGAGCUUGGCUUCGCACGGUGUGCCACGGAGCAUGCCCUGUACACACGACGACGGGGGAAGGAGGAGCUCAUCGUCGGUGUGUAUGUGGACGAUCUGAUCGUCACUGGCGCGCGGGAGGAAGACAUCGCCAAAUUCAAGGCGGAGAUGGCGGCCCGAUUCAAGAUGAGCGAUCUAGGCGCGCUCUCGUACUACCUCGGCAUCGAGGUGAAGCAGGGGAAGGACGCGGUCAGGCUGGGGCAGCGCGCCUACGCGCUGAAGCUGCUGGAGCGGGCUGGAAUGGGCGACUGCAGGGCUGCAGCAACACCGAUGGAGGAGCGGAUCAAGCUCUCCAAACAAAGUGUGGCGAAGAAGGUUGAUGCCACACGAUACCGAAGCAUCGUCGGUGGGCUGCGCUGGCUCACUCACACCCGGCCGGACAUCGCGUUCGCGGUCGGGUAUGUGAGCAGAUUCAUGGAGGAUCCAAGGGAGGACCACUGGGCGGCGGUCAAGCGACUGCUGCGGUACAUCCAGGGGUCUUUGGACCUCGGUGUCGUCUUCCCCAAGCACGGCGAUCUUCGGCUGAAGGUGUUCAGCGAAGCGCCGCCCAGGGCAAAGGGCGGCGAGCCAGGGCUCACCGUGUUCAGUGAUGCAGACAUGGCGGGUGAUGUGGAUGGGCGGAAAAGCACCUCCGGGGUGUUCGUUUUCCUCGGAGCAGCGCCAGUGGCCUGGCAAUCACUGAAGCAGAAGACAGUGGCACUGUCAACCUGCGAGGCAGAGUAUGUGGCUGCUGCUACGGCGGCAUGUCAGGCGGUCUGGUUGCGGCGGCUGCUGAAGGAGCUCACUGGGAAGGAGUCUCAGCCGCCGGCUUUGCUGGUGGACAAUCAGCCGGCCAUUGCUCUUGCCAAGAACCCGGUGCUCCAUGACCGGAGCAAACACAUCGACGUCAAGUUCCAUUUCCUCAGGGAUUGCGUUGAUGGAGGACAGAUCACCAUCGAGUUUGUCGACACCGGCAGGCAACUCGCUGACAUUCUCACCAAGUCCCUCGGACGCCUCAGGUUUGUUGAGCUGAGGAAGAUGAUUGGCAUGGAUGAGGUCAAGGCUUAGCAGCAGGAUUAGGGGAAGAACUGUAAGACAUAAUCUGCAGCUAAACCUUUCUGUUUUGUUAAUGAUCAUAGGCAGGCAAUAGGUCAGCUCUUGGUCACAUAGGAGUAUGGCAAUAGGCCACUCUAGUACAGUAGUUGGUAGAACCAUACAUCAGCCAUACUUGGUAGGAGGAUGAUGUAUGCAGUGUACUAGGAGUAGUUGGGGCUGUACCCAGCCAUGCCUUGUGUACCUUAUAGUUGGUACAAGGCUUGUAUAUAUACACCAUGUAUGCAAUGAAGCAAAGGCAGUUUUAGUGCCACAUAUUUCCUGGGUUCAGGUUUCAGCCAAGACUGAAACCGUGUGUGAGUGUGUGUGCCUGAGCUCGGCUCAUCUUCUACCUUGGGUCAGGGGAGAGGAAGAGGGAAGGUGAGCAGGGUCUGCUUACCUGGUGCCUGUGUGCAGGUGCCAACAAUCUCAAGUUUGACCAAAUUUAUAUGAUAAGAUACAUUUAUUAUAUUUUCAUAGUAUAUCUAUUUGAUUUUAUAAAUUUUUGUAAUUUGUUUUAUAAUUUUUGUCAAAUUUGGGAUGCUUUGACUCUCCAAAAUUCUUGGAAUGACCUAUAAUAUGGGAUGGAGGGAGUACAUAACUUUUAUGAAGAAUGCAUUAUGAGAAUGGUGUGAAUGUUACUGUUUUGUAUUGGACAAGUUACUCUUACAUUUUGCAAGUAAAUAAGAUAUGUGAAUAAAUCCUACUGUAUAAGGAUACACUAAGUAAUUCUUUUUCUUAGGAUGGAUACACUAAGGAAGUUUCCAGUCCAGAAGCAGCCCACAUUCGUGUUGCUACAAAAGCUAAGCCAAACGUGGAUAAAAAUAGCCCUCUAGAUAGGGAAUUUUUCGUGAGCUUCCUAGAGGUAAGCUAUUCUGCCUGUUGGCUCAUGUCACAAGAUUGACAACUCAUGUUUUUUGCAUUACACUCAUUCUUUCCGAUCAAUUUCAUUUCUAGUAUGUAAAGCUGAAAUGAUCUAAUAGGCUUGAUUGUUUAUGUAUCACAACAUGACAGUUGCAUCCCUUUAUUAUUUUUACAUGUAUAUCAUUAGUUGUAAUUUGUAAAUCAUUGACAGAGUUUUUUUCACUUUUCAGUUGAUUUAUCCAAAAGUAGCUAAAUUAGCGUUUGGCACUUCAACAUCAUCUUACCAUUAGCAUAAUUUACACCAUCAGCUUAUAUUUUUGCAACAUAGUGCUGAACUUUUUAUUUUCAUUGAUUCAUUCAAUAAUAGAUACUAAACUUAAGUCUCAUGAACAGUAGUCUCCUAAUAAUGGAACAUUAUGUGAAACGUCAAUUUGUGCUGCAAUUUCAUGUCAACAAAUUUUUUGCGCUGCAAUUCUGCAUGCAAAUUAGCCUUUGGUGGUCAGCUGCUCUUAAGUAACUGAUAUUCUGUUACAUAGAGUUCUAUAUUUUUUUUAGAUAAUGGAUAUUGUAUACCCGGCUUCUUCUAUCAAAAGAUAGAAUCAGGCCGCUAGUGGACACAAACACUCAUGCAGUCCACUAUCGUAAAACCAAAAGGAAAUAAGGUUUAAGCUAAACAUGACCAAUAUAUGAAGGCCUUAAUGCACUUAAAUGCAGUGUUAUCUAUGAAACCAAAAAAGUUGCUCCAAGCAUUUGUCAGCAAUCAUUUUAUGUGAUGUCACCUACUCUUAUAACUAGACUAUGACCUGCAGGCACUAAACCUUCAGGAAAACUCUGGUCGUUUCGACAUUAAGGCACAAUUUCCAUUCUACAGAGAGGUUCUUAAUAAGCCAUCAUUGAAAAGCAAAAGAACGGGGAGACCUGUUAUUAUUGACAUGGACAUGAGUCCUGGAGAUUUUGUCUCCCUUAUAUACCUCUUAAAGGCACCUCCUGAAGUAAUAGACUUAAAGGUACAAUUAUUGGGAUGACACAGUGUUAUGCUUCAAUGCAAUUAAAGAUUUUGUUUUGUAUUUGUUUUGACGAAUGCAAUUUAACUAUAAUGAUUAUAGGGGAUUUUGGUCAGUGGCAAUGGGUGGGCCAAUGUUGCAAGCAUUGAUAUCAUUUAUGAUAUUUUGCAUAUGAUGGGCCAUGAUGACAUUCCUGUUGGACGUGGUAAUACCACUGCAUUAGGAACUCCAAGUCUCGGUUGCGAAUAUGUCAGUAUUAUUCCCCAAGGCAGUGGAGGACUUAUUGACUCAGACACUCUCUAUGGACUAGCUCGAUCAUUGCCAAGAAGCCCUAGAAGGUUAUCUUUUUGUAGGCACCAGAUUAACCAGCAUAUAAGUUAGCGCCCAUGAUCUAGAUACUUACAAUUUUCUGCUUUCCAUUCUCAGGUAUACUGCUGAAAAUUCAGUAAAAUAUGGCGCUCCUAGAAAUACUGACCAUCCAGAACUUCGGCAGCCAUUGGCUUUUGAAGUUUGGCAGUCUAUCAAAGAGCAGCUUGAUCCAAGUGAGAAGAUCACUAUUAUUACCAAUGGACCUCUUACAAAUUUAGCCAAUAUCAUGCUCUCUGACAGGAAUUCAAGUUCUGUAAUAGAGGUGAGCUGUUUGAUACCUUUUGUUGCUAAUUUCAUUUUUUUCAUUAUUAUUCGUAUUGAUAUGCAAACGUCCUUUGUAUGCACUAUGUAGAAGGUCUACGCUGUUGGAGGCCAUAUCAGAGAUGAAAAUGAUUCGAAGGGAAAUUUGUUUACUGUUCCAUCAAAUAGAUAUGCAGAAUUUAAUAUGUUUCUUGAUCCACUAGCUGCCAAAACAGUCCUGGAGUCAUCUCUGGAUAUCACACUUAUUCCUCUUAGCUCUCAAAGAAAAGCUGCAUCCUUUCAGCGUAUCCUUCAAGCUCUAAAGCAUGCUGAUCAUACUCCAGAAUCAAGUUUUGUGCACCGAUUGCUGCUCUCACUACAUGAUCUUCAGCAGAAGCAUGGGCUUUACCACCAUAUGGUAAUGUCUUUAUAAUUCCUUAUUCCUCUGCUACAACUAAUCUUGCUAAACAAGGGAAUGGUGAGAAUUUUUUUCACAUCAUAGUAUAAAUAACUCCAUAAUGGUUCACAAAUCCAUAUUGUACUGUUUCAAGCUGAACUUUUCUAUUGGGCAUCCUAGAGAAUCCAAAUGACUGCCAUUAUUCAAAUGAGAGGAGGACGCAUAGUCUCUAUCAAAGGAGUAACCAAGCUCCACUUUCUUUCCUUUUUGUUUAGAACUUUAGAUUCAUCUGAAUCAAUUUAAAUUUUUUGUUUUCUUCGGAUUUUUCUUUCAAACAUUUAACUAUUAACUUCAAACAAGUUUUAAUAGCAUCUAGGUUUCAGUGAACAAAAAGAAAGCUCGAAAUAACAUAGUUUCACCUAGAACUAGAGUGUUCUCGGUGCCUACAAGGGUUUCCUACCGUAAAAAGUAGGCAGUCACAAGCUCUGCUGGGAUUUUGGUCCCUUGCCCCCAUAGUUAUGUUGUGCCUUUUGGAACAGAGCCUACAAGUAUACUUAUGAAUAAAUAUAUUCAUGUUCUUGGUCGAGUGUAGCUCUUUAUCUGAUUUAUGUUUCCUUGGUCGAGCACAACUCUUGUUCGAUUUCUCUUUCUUUGAUCGAGCACAGAGAAGCAAGUCUGGUGAACAUCAUCCACCUUACGUUGAGAUAGAAUAGAAGAGAAAGAAGUUCAUUCAAUACUGACUUUUUUGGGUUUGUGUGGUCACAAUAACAGGAUAUAUUUCUGGGAGAAAUUCUUGGUGCUGUCUACCUGGUGGAAGGAUUAAAUAUAAAACCAUCUUUGCAACUGAAGCCAAUAAGUAUUGUUGCCAACAACACAACAAACAUGGACGGUCAGAUUGUUAUUAACAUGCAGAGUGCAAGUUCAGUGAAAGUAUUAAGUGAUUUUAAUACUGAAGAUUAUUACAGUCGAAUCGCUAAUUCUUUAGGCCACAAAGAGCGGUCUGCAGUUAUUGGUAGCUUUGAAGAACAAACCGCAAUCUGGAGCAGACCCCCUUUGAAAUUGGAGACAUGAACAUAAAUGAGCCUAUUUUUUAUGUAGUAUGUAGUAAUGUUGGUGAAGCACAACCAUAAUUGAGCUCCGUUACGGAGUAUGCCCCUAGCUUAUAAAAGUAGUUGCAAACGUGGUCUAUCUUUUUAAGAUUCACCCCAUUUAUUUUGGCAUUUGGAAGCAUAAUAUUUUUUUGUUCCUAAAUGUAACAACCACCACUUGUUCAACAGUGUAGGUUCGAUUGGAUCCCUUGAAAUUGAUGUAACAGCAAAGGGAAUUACAAUAAUAAUAUUAAAUCUAAUGUUUAUGAAACAACGUUGAUGUACCAUUUGCAUUAUUUUUUUAAGGAAGGUGGCCGCAUCCUAUAGAAAAUACUCCCUACUUCUCAAAUUAUAAGUUACUUUGACUUUUUUUUAUAGAUAGGAUUUGCUAUGUAUUUAAACAUAUUAUUAUUUCUAGAUGAAUAAUAAAACAGAUGUAGCAAAAAGUCAAAACAGUUUAUAAUUUAAAACAGAGGGAGUAUGCAUAUGUGUAUUUUUCAGGAAAAAAAUAAGAAUUGUUGUUAUAUAUCCGUACGUGACAAGCUGUUUCUGCAACUUAUUUACAGUUAGAUCAAAAGUUCAAAAUUACGUUCACCAAAACAUACUGUAGACCACAACGGACGUUCAGGCAAGGAGCGACAAUUGGUAGCAAGCCAGUGGGCGUGCUCGUCCUCGUCCUUUUACCUCCUAUAGUUGUGGUCUUAUUUUUCUAUUUGAACCUCAAGACCAGACAUUUUGCCAUCUCAAUUUUUAAAACUGUUUGAAUUACCUCCUUUCUUAAUGCAAUUUAAAUUACCUCCUUACUAGGUUAGAAGUGAUUUUUGGGCAGUUUCAUCAUUUUUUAUAGUUAAAAAGUCGGGCAAAUUAUUGAUAAGGUUUUUAAACCACAAAAAAAUGUUUUUAAGAUUUUCAAAUAUUCAAAAAAAUCCUAAGAGAUAUAUUGAGACGAGCUUGUAAAAAUAUCUCUAAAAGAUUCCAAAAUUAGGCUUAGCUCUAAAAAAAUAAAUAUAUCCAGAAAAUGAGAAAAAUCCUAAAAUAUUUUAAUCGAAAUCUAAACAUAUUUUGUGAACUUUCCACAACAAAACAUGACAUGUAGCCAAAAUAAAUGCAUUCAACAUUAAAUGUGUGCUUUAAAUUCUUGCUAGUUGCAUCUUAUCUUUUCAUCGCAAAAAGUACGCAUUUAGACAUCAAUUAGAAUUUUUUGGGAAUUUGUCAUAUUUUCAUGAUUCUUUUUCAUUUUCUUGAGCUAAAUCUAAUUUUAGAAACUUUUGGAGAUAUUUUCACGAGGCAUAAAUAUUUUAUUUAGAUUUAUUGUGUCUCAGUCUAUCUCUAAGAUUUUUCUUUGAAUUUUUAGAAUCUUAAAGAUAUUUUUGUGGUUUCAAAAUCUUAUUAGGCAUUUACCAAUUUUCAAAAAAAUGAUAAAUUUACCUUGAAAACAAUCGCAAACCCUAGCCAAAACCCAUAGCAAAAUCUGUGCGGGAAAUAAGGUUAACAGAUAAGGGCACAUUCAUAUACUUUGCAUCUGGCGCGUACGCAUGGUCUUCAGCAAUGGAGGAGGUUGAAGGCGAUCGUGGUUGGCGGCACCGAUAGGUGAUAAGUACCAAUAUGGAUCGGCAAAGAUGCACGAAUAAAGGAUAACUUGCGAACGAGGAUAACUAGCUUUAUACCUAACAAAAAUUAAAUGCGACUAAGUGAUAGGGAGAGAGACACCUAAACCAAGACAUCAACUCGAUCCUCAAACAACCGCAGAAUCAUAAACCAAAAAUAGUGCAGCCGUACUAGAAAACAUAUAGCAUGAACUAGAUGAUCUCAAAAGAAUUACUUCACAAGUCCAAAAAGAACAAGAAAGAACAAAUGUUUGAGUAAGACACUCGGCUGCUCGGCUGCAAUGUCAUAUAGUUUAUCAAAUGAUCAAAAGGUUUCUAAUAGUUUAGAGGCAGGGGAUAUUUAUACCAGGAACAACCCUCCUAGAUAGGUGAAAAUGAAAUGGAGUUUAUAAAAGAAAGUAAUGUGAAAGUUUCCCUUGAAUGGAAUCCAAAAACUGUCUUGCAUGACAGUUGGCCUCUUAAGCAGUUUUCACUAAUUUAGUUAGGACUUCUUAUUGGAAAGUCUAAAUGAUGAACCGUUUAUUGGCUGUGAAAGUAGGCUUGAAGAGAUUUCUAGGCCUUGUUUACUUCCACCCAAAAACCUAAAAUUUUUCAAGAUUUCUCGUUACAUGAAUCUUUAGACGCAUGCAUGGAGUAUUAAAUAUAGACGAAAAUAAAAACUAAUUGCACAGUUUUGUCGGAAUUUACGAGAUGAAUCUUUUGAGCCUAGUUAGUCCAUGGUUGGACAAUAAUUAUCACAAAUAAACGAAAGUGCUACAGUGUCGCGAAAUUUUUUCCUGCAGCAACUAAACACACCCCUAGCCAUGUGUGCAUGCAUUAUGAAACUUUAUAAAUUGAUACAAUUUUGCAUGAGAAGUUGGACCAUCAUUCUGUCCUGGGAAGACUGUUGAUCUUCUUAGCAAUCUUCACUAAUCUACUUACACCUCAACAUUGGGAGGUCCAAAGUACUUGAAACUUACGACAUUGGAAACUAUGCUUGAUAAACUUUCCAAAAUAUCCUCAUGAGCAUCGAAAGUUUCACGGAGUUGAAAGUUAUGAGUGUUUCUUUCAACUAGUCCUUUUUCACUAUGAUGGUUCGAUUUGUUGGUCUAUUUUUCUCAAUGUUGGUUCGAUAUAGAGAAUCGUGCUCCUCUUUAUUUAUAUAUCUAAGUACAACCAAAGUAGAACACUUAGGUAGUCUAACUUUCUCAAAUAUGUCAAACUUAAUUUUAGCUAGGAAUGAGUUUGUCUGUUUCUAGAGUUGUUUUGCCCGGCUAGGUGUAAGUGGCCCUUCAUACACUUACUUAUGUGGGACUUAAGUAACCACUGGCAUUGUUCUUAUCAUUUUUCCCCUCUUGAAAAGAAGUUGUCCUCGACUCUGACUCUGAUGGUCCAAAGAAUUAUGCUAGGCCAUCGACUUAAGAUAAUAUCACGAACUUCUUUUUUCAUCAAAGUAAGGUGUUUGAAUCUAUAAUCAUAUAAACCAAGUAGUAGCCUUGUAGGUGGAAACCUAAAUGAUUUGAAAUUAAGUAUAGCUUUCACCUUGCAUCGAUGCUUAGAACUAUCAGUUAGUGUUGAUGUUCUUGGUAUGGUCCUAUCAAUAGGAAAACAUAGGAGAUGAAAGUAGCCUUCUCACCAAACAGUUUGGGUACAGAAGAGAGAAAAGAGUUGUGUGAAUGCUUCUCCACUAAAUAGAUUGGUCACAGAAGAGAGAAAAGAGUUGUGUGAAUGCUGUUGAGGCUAAAGGUAGCUUAGUUUUUUUGUAAUGCUCCUCCACGCUCGCACUAUGACUUGACAUGCCAUGCAAGCAAAAAUGAUUAUUUUUAGUAAACUUGUACGAAAUCUUUUCACUUCGAUGAUAAAUUUGUAAGAAAUUUAGUAGGGUGCUACUCGAAUGUGCGGGGACAAAAAAAAUUAAAAAACCCAUGGCUGCGGUCUCCUAGACUCUAGUCCUAGGAAUAUUUUGGCUACUAUAUAUAUAUAAGUUGCAACUUUUGGGCAAAAAAUUUAAAGGUCCAUGGUUGGCUGGUUGCCUACCUGUUGCGGCUGCAGGCUGGUUGAUCGCGAGCUGCCACUGCACUGCACCGGCAUCAACACUAGCAGCACCUUGCUCGUCGUGAGACACAACAGCCGGGAUGAACUUGCUCAGCAAACACCGCAGUCAAAUCAAGUACGUAUGAAAAAUCAAUCAUGGCGUGGCAGGGCACGGUUGAACUGGACCUCACGAGUUCUCAGUGAGUUUUCCGUGGCCCUAGGCGGCGUUUGAGACCCGGCGGCGGCGUAUCCGCCGGCCACUGCUCAUCCCCCGCGACGCGCCACUCCUAUGGUGUGUCUGAUCAAAUGGAGCAAGCCUCCGAUGGCGCACUGCCCCCGCCUCCACCGCUUCCUCUCGUCUGCCGCCACCAGAGCCGCAGCGCCGAUCCCUGCCCGGCACGUGCCCCUGUCGCCAGGCACGUCCGCGCAAAGCGCCCGCAUACGGGAGCUCGGCCGCCUCCGCGAGGCCAGGGAGGUGUUCGACGCGAUGCCCUUCCGCGACAUCAUCGCCUGGAACUCCAUGAUCCUCGCCUACUGCAGCAACCGGAUGCCCGACUCCGCGAGGUCGCUCGCUGACGCGAUCUCCGGCGGGAACCUGCGGACGGGCACCAUCCUGCUGUCGGGCUACGCGCGCGCCGGGCGCGUGCGUGACGCUCGGAGGGUGUUCGAUGAAAUGGUCGUGCGGAACACCGUGGCGUGGAAUGCCAUGGUUACGUGCUAUGUCCAGAACGGGGACAUCGCCCUGGCGCGCAAGAUGUUCAAUGCAAUGCCGAGCAGAAAUGUCUCGUCAUGGAACACAAUGCUUACUGGGUACUGCCAUAGCCAACUGAUGGUGGAUGCAAGGAAUCUGUUUGAAUUAAUGCCAGAACGCAACAUGGUUUCUUGGACAGUGAUGAUUUCUGGGUAUGUUCUGAUUGAGCAGCAUGGCAAGGCUUGGGACAUGUUUCACACAAUGCUAUGUGAAGGAAUGCCACCAGAGCAACCAAAUCUUGUUUCUGUGCUUUCAGCUGUACGUCAUCUUAGUGAACCUGGCAUUCUAGAGAGUAUCCACUUUCUUGUGCAUAAGACUGGCUUUGAGAGGGAUGUUGUCGUCAGCACUGCCUUACUUAAUGUUUACACUAAGGAUGUGAAUAUAAAGGCACUGCAGUAAAGUUCUUUGUAGGCAUGGCAGUUAGGGAUGAGUACACAUGGUCAACCAUGAUUGCUGCAUUAUCUGAGGCUGGACGAAUAGAUGAUGCUUUUGCUGUUUACCAAAGAGAUCCUCUAAAGUCUGUUCCUAGCCGGACUGCGAUGCUCACAGGCCUUGGUCGAUAUGGAAGGAUUAGUGAUGCAAAGAUUUUAUUUGACCAGAUUCCUGAGCCUAAUGUUGUAUCCUGGAAUGCCAUGAUUACUGGGUACAUGCAGAAUGAAAUGGUUGAUGAAGCAGAAGAGAUUUUUAACAGGAUGCCUUUUAGGAACACAAUAUCUUGGGCUGGGAUGAUUGCAGGGUAUGCGCACAAUGGGAGGAGUGAACAAGCUUUGGUUUUGCUCCAAGCUCUCCAUAGGAAUGGAAUGUUACCUAGCCUGUCUAGCUUGACUAGUAGUUUCUUUGCUUGUUCAAACAUCGAAGCUCUUGAGACAGGAAAGCAACUUCAUUCACUUGCAGUAAAGGCCGGCUGUCAGUUUAAUAGCUAUGUAUGUAAUGCACUGAUUACUCUGUACGCUAAGUGCAGAAACAUAGGUUUUGUGAGACAAAUCUUUGAUCGGAUGACAGUUAAAGAUACAGUGUCUUAUAACUCUUUUAUGACCGCACUUGUACAAAGUAAUCUGUUUGAUGAAGCAAGAGAUAUAUUUGACAAUAUGCCGAGUCAAGAUGUUGUCUCUUGAACUACGAUAAUAUCUGCAUAUGCACAAGCUGACCAGGGGAGUGAGGCUGUAGAGAUUUUCAGAAGUAUGCUGCAUGAGCGUGAGUUACCCAAUCCACCUAUAUUAACUAUAGUUCUUGGCCUCGGUGGAAGUCUUGGUGCUCCCAAACUUGGACAGCAAAUUCACACAGUCGCUAUUAAACUUGGAAUGGAUUCAGGACUUGUAGUGGCUAAUGCUCUUGUCUCGAUGUACUUCAAGUGUGGUUCUGCAGAUUCCCUCAUGGUUUUUUAUUCAAUGGAGGAACGGGACAUUUUUACAUGGAAUACCAUCAUUACAGGCUAUGCUCAACAUGGCCUUGGAAGAGAAGCCAUCAAGAUGUAUCAACUAAUGAUAUCUGCAGGAGUGUUGCCUAAUGAGGUCACUUUUGUGGGACUUUUACAUGCAUGUAGCCAUUCUGGUUUGGUAAAUGAAGGGCGCUAGUUUUUCAAGUCUAUGAGCAGUGAUUAUGGAUUAACUCCUCUGCUGGAGCACUAUGCUUGCAUGGUUGACCUACUUGGGUGAGCUGGUGAUGUGCAAGGAGCUGAACAGUUUAUUUAUGAUAUGCCUAUUGAGCCAGAUUCAGUGAUCUGGAGUGCACUUCUUGGGGCAUGCAAGAUUCACAAGAAUGUAGAAAUUGGUAGCAGAGCAGCUGAGAAACUUUUCUCUAUCGAGCCGUCAAAUGCUGGGAAUUAUGUCAUGUUGUCAAAUAUAUACUCCUCCCAAGGGAUGUGGGACGAAGUUGCAAAGGUACGAAAACUUAUGAAAGAACAAGGUGUGAACAAGGAUCCUGGUUGUAGCUGGAUGCAGAUAAAGAACAAAAUGCAUUCAUUUGUCACUGGAGACGAGGAACACGAGCAAAUUCAAGAUAUAUAUGCUACCCUUCGGGAUUUAUACACUUUGCUAAAGGCCACAGGGUAUGUACCUGACACAGACUUUGUUCUUCAUGACAUCGAUGAAGAGCAGAAGGAAAGCUCGCUUCUGUACCACAGUGAGAAGCUUGCUGUUGCUUAUGGCCUUCUUGUUACACCCGAGGGCAUGCCCAUACAGAUAAUGAAGAACCUUAGAAUAUGUGGUGACUGUCACACUUUCAUGAAAUUUGUAUCCUAUGUCACCAAGAGAGAAGUUGACGUUAGGGAUGGGAAUCGAUUCCAUCAUUUCAGGAAUGGAAGCUGUGCUUGUGGUGAUUUUUGGUGAUAAAUUAUCCGAGAACCAGCAGGUCCUCUUCACACUAUCCCCUCAAACACAGAUUGUCUAAUUUCUUCACCCAUGUUUUAGUUUCCCUUUAGUUUCUAUCUGUAUCUAAAUCCCUUUUCAUGUUGUCCCAAUUGAUCAAAGAUGAUUUUGCUAUGUGAUAUUUUCAAUGGGUUACAUAAAAGUUGGCAUAAAGAUGGGUUUGUAGACUAGAAAAUUAACGCAUUGAAUUCAGAGCAAAGCAAGAUUCCUUAUAUGUUGUGUUUCUUAUCAUUGUUGAUGUUUUGAUGGAUAAGUCUUUGUUGGCUGGUUGUGGGCUGCAGUAGGCAGCACAUGGUCCUUCUGUAGGACAGCAUCCUUGACAUCUGUAGGACAGCAUCUUGACUGCUUUUAGGACAGCAGUUAGCAUCUAUAGGACAACAUCUUAUACUAGCAUCUUGGCAUAUGCUGGCUGGUUAGCAGCCCUAUAAAUAUGUAUCCCCAACCCCUCAGGUUGGCAUAGCAUUGUGUGAGAAAUAAACCCAGAAAAUUGUCCCAACUCUGUGUGCUAUCCUCUCAAUGAGAGUAAGGAUCCUGCUCACACCUAGAGCAAGGAUCCAGCGACUAACAAGUGGUAUCGGAGCCGUAGUAUCCUGUAGCCUAAGCAUUUCCUGCUCAAUCCCUUCUCCAGUCGAGCUCCCUGCCUCGCAGCAGCCCCGGCUGGCAGCAGCAGCUGUUCCGGCUGCCUCUGCUCUCCGCGCAGCAGCGCGCCAUGGCCGUAGAAGGGCAGUCUCAGCACUCGGGCACCUCGAGCGCGCGGCGUCGGCAGGAGGCUGACCUCGCUGCAGCAGAGGAGUGCAGGCGAGCAGCGGCAGCAACCGCUGCAGCAGCAGCGAGGGCGUCGAGGCUGGCCCAAGCGGAGCUGGCAGCAGCCAGAGCGGAGGUGGAGGCAGCAGCAGCUGCAGAUGCAGCGCGUGCAGCGGCAGCGGAGGUUGAGGACCUGCGCAGCAGUCACAGCAGCUCCAUCGCUGCUGAUGACAGUGCUGACCCAGACCUAGAGCUGCUGGAGAGAGAUGCAGCACGUCGGCGAGCGGCGCAGUGGGCAGCUGUGCACGCCCACGAGCGUGGCCGCAGUCCAGACAGGCGUGGAGGCGCCGGCGGCGUUCCUGGAGGAGGUACGCACGGCAACGGUGGUGGACGGGUCGAGGAAGAGCACGGCCUUCGCAGGCCGCGUGGCUCUCUCUCCCCGGACCGGUACCGUGGUGGAGCCGGCGGCGCUCCUGGAGGAAGCGCACAUGGCAACGGUGGUGGACGGGUCGAGGGAGAGCACGGCCUUCGCAGGCCGCGUGGCUCUCUCUCCCCGGACCCGACCGUGGCUACCACGGGUACCAGGGUGUUGCUAGGGACGUUGGCCCUGGUGGUGGGUGGCCUACCCUCACCAAGACUAACUAUGUUGAGUGGGCUGCGGGAUGAAGGUGAGGCUUCAGGUGCUGCACAUGUGGGAGGCAGUCCGGUACGACGACGUCGACUACGACCAGGAUCGACGGGCACUGAAUGCCCUCAUCGCUGUAGUCCCGACCGAGAUCCAGUUCUCGCUUACCAGCAAGCGGACUGCCAAGGAUGCUUGGGACGCCAUUGCUGCAGCACGCAUCGGCAAUGAUCGCGCCCGCAAGUCCACAUUGUAGCAACUCCGCAAGGAGUGGGAGGACCUGGCCUUCAAGCCAGGUGAGGACGUUGAUUUUGCUCUCCGUCUCAACACUUUGCUGCAGAAAGUGGUGCAGUUUGGUGACAACACCUACAGCGAGGAGAGAGCUGUCGAGAAGCUCUUCCGCUCCGUCCCCGAGAAGUAUAGGCAGAUGGCUCGCUCAAUCGAGUCUCUGCUAGACCUCUCCACGAUGUCGAUCGAGGAGGCGAUAGGUCGCCUCAAGGUCGUCGACAGUGACGAGCCACAACCCUCCUCGGGGCCCAAGCUCCUUCUCACUCGGGAGCAGUGGGCUGCCGGGCAUGGUGACAAGAAGAAGGGGGAGCCUUCUUUUGCAGCAGCCAGCCGCAAGCGUGGCAAGCGCGGCAAGUCACGUAAAGGUGCCCAGUGUUAGUCGUUGGAUCCUUGCUCUAGGUGUGAGCAGGAUCCUUACUCUCAUUGAGAGGAUAGCACACUGAGUUGGGGCAAUUUUCUGGGUUUAUUUCUCACACAAUGCUAUGCCAACCUGAGGGGUUGGGGAUACAUAUUUAUAGGGCUGCUAACCAGCCAGCAUAUGCCAAGAUGCUAGUCUAAGAUGCUGUCCUACAGAUGCUAACUGCUGUCCUAAAAGCAGUCAAGAUGCUGUCCUACAGAUGCUAACUGCUGUCCUAAAAGCAGUCAAGGAUGUUGUCCUACACAAGGACCAUGUGCUGCCUGCUGCAGCCCACAACCACCAGCCAACAGAGACUUAUCCAUCAUUCUCCCCCUAAGUCUUGUGUGGCUCCUUGUGGGGUAUCUGAGCCAUCCCGAUCCUGGUGCGAAGUUCAUGGAACUUAGACUCGCCCAAGGGACUUUGACAGAAAGUCGGCGAGCUGGUCUUGGGUGUUGAUGUAGUUGGCCCGAACGCUCCCUUCCUCCAGGCAGCUCCUGAUGAAGUGGUACCUCACCCGGAUGUGCUUGCUGCGCUCAUGGAAGACUGGAUUCUUCGCCAAGGCCAAGGCAGACUUGCUGUCCACCCUGAGCUCCACUGCCUCUGCGUCUCUGCCAAGGAGAUCGCCAAGCAGCCGAGCCAGCCACAGAGCCUGAGUAGAAGCGGUAGUGGCUGCGAUGUAUUCUGCCUCGCAGCUGGACAGAGCCACCACCUGCUGCUUGACCGACUGCCAGCUGAUCGGACACUUGCCGAGGAAGAAGAGCGUCCCGCUGGUGCUCUUGCUCGUGCCGGCGUGGUCGCUGUCACUGUACCCGAUGAAAUGUGCCGCACCGGGGCACCUCGGGUAGUGCAGACCGUAGUCGGAGGUGCCCGCGACGUAGCGGAGGAUCCUCUUCACGGCCUGCUGGUGCUCCGUCGUCGGUCGCUGCAUGAACCGGCUGACGUAGCCGACGGCGAACGCCAAGUCCGGUCGCGUGUGGACAAGGUAGCGAAGGCUGCCCACAAUGCGCCGGUACUGCGUCGCGUCCACCUCUUCCUCCGCACUCUCCCGACUCAGCCUCAGCAUCUCCUCCAUAGGAGUGUGGGCUGGGUUGCAGCCGGUGAGACCGCCCAGCUCCACAAUGCGCUUGGCGUAGGCUGUCUGGCGGAGAGAGGUGCCGGAGCUGUCCUGGUGGACCUCGAUCCCCAGGUAGAAGGAGAGAGGGCCCAAGUCGCUCAUUUGGAAGGUCGCCCUCAUCUUCUCCUUGAACGCCUCGAUCUCCACCUCCUCGGUGCCGGUGAUCACAAGAUCAUCGACGUAGACACCCACCAGCAGGGCCUUUCGUCCCCUGCCCCGCCGGUAGAUGGCCACCUCGUGCGGGCUUUGCUCGAAGCCCAUCCCCUUCAUUGUGGAAUCCAGUUUGGCAUUCCACGCCCGCGGUGCCUGACGCAAGCCAUAGAGGGCCUUGCGCAGACGAAGCACCUUGCCUUCCUUGCCGGGAAUCACAAAUCCCGGCGGCUGGUGCACGUAGACCUCCUCCUUCAAGUCGUCGUUAAGGAACGCCGACUUGACAUCCAUGUGAUGUACACGCCAGCCCUCCUGGGCAGCUAGCGCAAGGAGAAGUCGCACGGACUCCAUCCGUGCUACGGGGGCGAAGGCGUCGUCGAAGUCGACCCCCUCCUGCUGCACGAAACCUCGUGCCACCAAGCGAGCCUUGUGCUUGACGAUGGCACCGGCUUCAUCCCUCUUCAGCUUGAACACCCACUUAAGGGUGAUCGCGCGGUGACCACGAGGGAGAUCAGCGAGCUCCCAAGUGCGGUUCUGCUCGACCGCGUCCAUCUCCUGCUGCAUCGUGGCACGCCAUGCCGCGUCUCCCUCCGCCUCAGCGAAGGAGCGAGGCUCCGUCCUUGUGUGCCAGGUGCAGCUCCGCCUCGAAGUCGUGUACCGCUAACCCAGGGACACGUUGGUUACCGAGGAUGUUGUCCAUGAUGCGGUAGCGUAGAGGCUCAUCGUCGUGGUAAGCGUCGACGCGAUCCUCGUCGCCGGACAGUGGAGUGGCGAACUCCACCGAACGCUGACGGACCAAAGCUGCUGGUGCCGACCUUGGAGUUGCCGGUGCCGGUGCAGGAGAGUGGGGAGCCGGUGCAGGAGUGCGUGGUGUAGCCGGUGGUGUUGGACUCGCUGGUGGUGAAGGUGGUGGUGGGCUCGCCGAAGCUGAUGGCGAGCUGGGUGCCGAGGAGGGCGAGCUCGGUGAGGACGAGCUGCUAGCUCCCCCGGCUCCCUCCAAGUGGACGUAGUCGACGACGAAGUCCCUGAGGGUCGAAGCGAGCCGUCGUCCACCGCCUUGUCCCAAGUCCAGCCUCGCCCUUCAUCUAACACGACGUCCCGGGAGAUGCGGACGCGCUGUGUCACAGGGUCGAGGAUGCGGUAGGCCUUGGCGCCCUCCGCAUAGCCGAUGAACACUCCUGGAGUGCUCCGGUCGUCGAGCUUGCCGACGUGAGUGAGCUCCGUGGCGAACGCCAGACAACCGAAGAUGUGGAGGUGGCUCACCACGGCUUGCGCCCGUGCCAAGCCUCGUACGGCGUCAUGCUGUCAAGCGCCUUGGUGGGCGAGCGGUUGAGGAGAUGGACAGCGGUCAUCACCGCCUCCCCAGUAGAUCGUCGGCAUCCCUCUCUGCUUGAGGAGGGCGCGGGCGGUGGCGACCACCGUCUGGUUGCGGCGCUUGACGACGCCGUUCUGCUGCGGGGUGUACGGCGCGGUGAAGUGGCGCUGGAUCCCCUCGUCGGCGCAGUGCGCCGCGAACUCAGCCGCCGUGAACUCGCCACCGUUGUCCGUGCGCAGCACCCGAAGCUUGCGGCCGCACUCCUUCUCCGCAGCAGCUUGGUGGUGCUUGAUGGCGUCCGCGGCUGCCCCCUUGGUGUCGAGGAGGACAGCCCACAUGUAGCGGGACGUGUCGUCGACGAGGAGGAGGAAGUAGCGUCGUCCUCCAGGUGUAGCCGGUGUCACGGGGCCGCAAAGGUCGCCGUGCACAAGCUCCAGCUUCUCCUUGGCACGAAAGCUUGCUUGGCGGGGAAAGGGCAGCCGUCGCUGCUUGGUGAGGACGCAGGUGUCGCAGAACUGCUCCACGUGGUCGACGCACGGCAUGCCCUGCACCAUCUCCUUGUUGCCGAGCUGCUUCAGGGCCUCGAAGUUGAGGUGCCCAAAGCGCUCGUGCCACCGCCAGGCUUCAUCGUCACGCCGAGCUGCAAGGCAAAAAGGUUGUGCCACCUGUACGUGAAGGACGUAGAGGCGGUUGCUCCCCCUGUUCACCUUGGCGAGAAGUCGGUGACGAGGAUCCCAAAUGCGAAGCACGCCGUCCUUGAUCUCCACGCGCGAGCCAUUCUCAUCCAACUGUCCCAAGCUGAUGAUGGAGUUCCUCAGUGUGGGGAUGUAGUAGACGCCGGUGAGCAGCCGAUGCUCACCAUUCUUGGCGACGAAGAUUACGGAGCCGGCGCCCUUGAUCUCUACGGCGGAGGCGUCCCCGAACUUGACGGAGCCUCGAACGUUGGAGUCGAGCUCGGAGAAGAACUCCCGCCGGCCUGUCAUGUGGUGGGUGGCGUCGGUGUCGAGGCACCACCCAUCGAUCUUGUUGCUGCCGCCGGACCCGCUGCUGAGGAGGGCGUGUGCCUUGGCCUCGUCGAGGUGGAGAAGAGCCGCUGCAGCCGGUGCUGCUGGAGGUGGCUCGGUGCUAGCAUGUGCCAUGAACAGACCUGGCUGCUCCUCCUCCGCCUGCACGACAUGGGCCUGGGCGCGUCGUGGCUGCCUGCAGUCCUUAGCCCAAUGGCCAGCAAGACCACAGUGCCUGCAGCAGUCAUCUUGUGCCGGCUUGGGUUUUUCGGCGGCGGCGCCUUGGACACCUCCGCGGGCGCCUCCGUUGGCACGCCCUUGCGCCCCGGCCUGGGCGCCUUUGCGUGACUUGCCGCGCUUGCCACGCUUGCGGCUAGCUGCUGCAGAAGAAGGCUCCCCUUCUUCUUGUCACCUUGCCCGGCAGCCCACUGCUCCCGGGUGAGAAGGAGCUUGGGCCCCGAGGAGGGUUGUGGCUCGUCAAUGUCGACGACCUUGAGGCGACCUAUUGCCUCCUCGGUCGACAUCGUGGAGAGGUCUAGUAGGGACUCGAUUGAGCGAGCCAUCUGCCUGUACUUCUCGGGGACGCAGCGGAAGAGCUUCUCGACAGCUCUCUCCUCGCUGUAGGUGUUGUCACCAAACUGCACCACUUUCCGCAGCAAAGUGUUGAGACGGAGAGCAAAAUCAUCAACGUCCUCACCUGGCUUGAAGGCCAGGUCCUCCCACUCCUUGCGGAGUUGCUGCAGUGUAGACUUGCGGGCGCGAUCACUGCCGAUGCGUGCUGCAGCAAUGGCAUCCCAAGCAUCCUUGGCAGUCCGCUUGCUCGUAAGCGAGAACUGCAUCUCGGUCGGGACUGCAGCGAUGAGGGCAUUCAGUGCCCGUUGAUCCUGGUCGUAGUCGACGUUGCCGUACCGGACUGCCUCCCACAUGUGCAGCACCUGAAGUCUCACCUUCAUCACCGCAGCCCACUCAACAUAGUUGGUCUUGGUGAGGGUAGGCCACCCACCACCAGGGCCAACGUCCCUGGCAACAGCCUGGUACCCGUGGUAGCCACGGUACCGAUCCGGGGAGAGAGAGCCACACGGCCUGCGAAGGCCGUGCUCUCCCUCGACCCGUCCACCGCCGUUGCCGUGCGCGCCUCCUCCAGGAACGCCGCCGGCGCCUCCACGCCUGUCUGGACUGCGGCCACGCUCGUGGGCGUGCACAGCUGCGCACUGCGCCGCUCGCCGGCGUGCUGCAUCUCUCUCCAGCAGCUCCAGGUCUGGGUCAGCACUGUCAUCAGCAGCGAUGGAGCUGCUGUGACUGCUGCGCAGGUCCUCAACCUCCGCUGCCGCUGCACGCGCUGCAUCUGCAGCUGCUGCUGCCUCCACCUCCGCUCUGGCUGCUGCCAGCUCCGCGUGGGCCAGCCUCGACGCCCUCGCUGCUGCUGCAGCGGUCGCUUCCGCUGCCCGCCUGCGCUCCUCUGCUGCAGCGAGGUCGGCCUCCUGCCAACGCCGCGCGCUCGAGGUGCCCGAGUGCUGAGACUGCCCUUCUGCGGCCAUGGCGCGCUGCUGCGCGGAGAGCAGAGGCAGCCGGAACAGCUGCUGCUGCCAGCCGGGGCUGCUGCGAGGCAGGGAGCUCGACUGGAGAAGGGAUUGAGCAGGAAAUGCUUAGGCUACAGGAUACUACGGCUCUGAUACCACUUGUUAGUCGCUGGAUCCUUGCUCUAGGUGUGAGCAGGAUCCUUACUCUCAUUGAGAGUAUAGCACACUGAGUUGGGGCAAUUUUCUGGGUUUAUUUCUCACACAAUGCUAUGCCAACCUGAGGGGUUGGGGAUACAUAUUUAUAGGGUUGCUAACCAGCCAGCAUAUGCCAAGAUGCUAGUCUAAGAUGCUGUCCUACAGAUGCUAACUGCUGUCCUAAAAGGAGUCAAGAUGCUGUCCUACAGAUGCUAACUGUUGUCCUAAAAGCAGUCAAGGAUGCUGUCCUACACAAGGACCAUGUGCUGCCUACUGCAGCCCACAACCACCAGCCAACAGAGACUUAUCCAUCACCCAGGCCGGGGCGCAAGGGCAUGCCAACGGAGGCGCCCGCGGAGGUGUCCAAGGCGCCGCCGCCGAAAAACCCAAGCCGGCACAAGAUGACUGCUGCAAAAACUGUGGUCUUGCUGGCCAUUGGGCUAAGGACUGCAAGCAGCCACGACGCGCCUAGGCCCACGUCGCGCAGGCGGAGGAGGAGGAACAGCCAGCUCUAUUCAUGACACAAGCUAGCACCGAGCCACCUCCAGCAGCACCGGCUGCAGCGGCUCUUCUCCACCUCGACGAGCCCAAGGCACAUGCCCUCCUCAGCAGCGGGUUCGGCGCCAGCAACAAGAUCGAUGGGUGGUGCCUCGACACCGGCGCCACCCACCACAUGACAGGCCGGCGGGAGUUCUUCUCCGAGCUCGACUCCGACGUUCGAGGCUCCGUCAAGUUCGGGGACGCCUCCGCCGUAGAGAUCAAGGGCGCUGGCUCCGUAAUCUUCGUCGCCAGGAACGGCGAGCAUCGGCUGCUCACCUAAAGAUGUCAAUGGGGACCCGAUCCCCGAUUCCCCGCGGGGAAUUCCCCUAUUAGGGGACGGGGAUGGGAGUAAAAUUACCCCCACGGGGGAAUAAACGGGGAGAAAAUUGUCCCCAUCGGGUCUAGCGGGGGCGGGUCUGGUAUGCUGCUCCCCGUCCCCAUCUCCCCGUGUACCCGUUUAUCUAAAUGCAGGCCGUAGUUUCUGUUCUUUUGGCCCAUUAAAGCCCACGUUGGCAAUACAUAUAUAAUCAACAGAAAACCUAACUCCUCCCCAUCCUCUGCCCUCCCAGUCUCACCCGCCGCCGCUGCGUUGUCCAUGAGCUAUGCCGCAAAGUGACGCUCCACUUCUCUCCAAUAGGCACAAGCCUGUUAAGCUAGGUUUGGACGUGAUUCUCGCCGGCGUUUAAGCUAGGUGCGUCCAAGCCGGUCAAAGCCUUGAGCCCCUCCUCCAUCCCCUGGCGUGCAGCUUGCCCGGAGCCCCAGGCUAAACCAUCACCAGUCGCCAUGGCCGGUGGCCCUGUGCAGGAAAGAUGGAUGUAUCAGUAUCUUGCAUCUUCUUUUUCUCGUCAUGCGUAUCUAUUUGCAUCUACUUUCUGCAUCCUGACAAACACUUGUGUAUUGUUAGUUUUUUUUUGUGUUUUGUGUUGCAACUGUGAUUUGUAAAGUAUCCUAUCUUAUGAUGCAAGAUGUGUUUAUGGUGAACAUUUCUUCUUUUAGAUUAUUGAGUUGAGUAAUUUUUUCACAAACUUAUAUUGCGGGGACGGGGGACCUGUCGGGGAUGCAUCCCCGCUCGGGUUCGGGGAUGGGGAGAAAACAUCCCCCGGGAGCUUUUACGGGGACGGGGACGGGGAAAAUCUUGCCCCGUGGGGACGGGGAUGGGAAGAUGAAACCCGAUGGGGAAUUCCCCAUUGACAUCUUGAUGCUCACCGGCGUCUACUACAUCCCCGCGCUGAGGAACUCCGUCAUCAGCUUGGGACAGCUUGGGACGGCGUGCUUCGCAUUUGGGAUCCUCGUCACCGACUUCUCGCCAAGGUGAACAGGGGGAGCAACCACCUCUACGUUCUUCACGUACAGGUGGCGCAACCCUUUUGUCUUGUAGCUCUGCGGGACGAUGAAGCCUGGCGGUGGCACGAGCGCUUUGGGCACCUCAACUUCGAGGCCCUGAAGCAGCUCGGCAACAAGGAGAUGGUGCAGGGCGUGCCGUGGGUCGACCACGUGGAGCAGUUCCGCGACACCUGCGUCCUCACCAAGCAGCGACGGCUGCCCUUUCUCCGCCAAGCAAGCUUCCGCGCCAAGGAGAAGCUGGAGCUCGUGCACGGCGACCUUUGCGGCCCCGUGACACCGGCUACACCCGGAGGACGAUGCUACUUCCUCCUCGUCGACGACGCGUCCCGCUACAUGUGGCCUGUCCUCCUCGACACCAAGGGGGCAGCUGCGGACGCCAUCAAGCACCACCAAGCUGUCGCGGAGAAGGAGUGCGGCCGCAAGCUUCGGGUGCUGCGCACGUACAACGACGGCGAGUUCACAAAGGCUGAGUUCGCGGAGAACUGCGCCGACGAGGGAAUCCAGCGCCACUUCACCGCGCCGUACACCCCGCAGCAGAACGGCGUCGUCGAGCGCCGCAACCAGACGGUGGUCGCCACCGCCCGCGCCCUCAAGCAGAGAGGGAUGCCGGCGAUCUACUGGGGAGAGGCGGUGAUGACCGCUGUCCAUCUCCUCAACCGCUCGCCCGCCAAGGCGCUUGACGGCAUGACGCCGUACGAGGCUUGGCACGGGCGCAAGCCGGUGGUGAGCCACCUUCGCGUCUUCGGCUGUCUGGCGUUCGCUAAGGAGCUCACUCACGUCGGCAUGCUCGACGACCGGAGCACUCCAGGAGUGUUCAUCAGCUACGCGGAGGGCGCCAAGGCCUACCGCAUCCUCGACCCUGCGACACAGCGCGUCCGCAUCUCUCGGGACGUCGUGUUCGAUGAAGGGCGAGGCUGGACUUGGGACAAGGCAGUGGACGACGGCUCGGCCUCGACCCUCAGGGACUUCAUCAUCGACUACGUCCACCUGGAGGAAGCCGGGGGAGCUAGCAGCUCGUCCUCACCGAGCUCGCCCUCCACAGCACCCGGCUCGCCAUCAGCUUCGGCGAGCCCACCACCACCUUCACCACCAGCGAGUCCAACACUACCGGCUACACCACGCACUCCUGCACCGGCUCCCCACUCUCCUACACCGGUGCCGGCAUCUCCAAGGUCGGCACCAGCAGCUUUGGCCUGUCAGCGUUCGGUGGAGUUCGCCACUCCACUGUCCGGCGACGAGGACCGCGUCGACGCCUACCACGACGAAGAGCCUCUACGCUACCACACCAUGGACAACAUCCUCGGUAACCAACGUGUCCCUGGGUUAGCGGUACACGACUUCGAGGCGGAGCUGCACCUGGCACACAAGGACGGUGAGCCUCGCUCCUUCGCUAAGGCGGAGGGAGACGCGGCAUGGUGUGCCGCGAUGCAGCAGGAGAUGGACGUGGUCAAGUAGAACCGCACUUUGGAGCUCGCUGAUCUCCCUCGUGGUCAUCGCGCGAUCAACCUUAAGUGGGUGUUCAAGCUGAAGAGGGAUGAAGCCGGUGCCAUCGUCAAGCACAAGGCUCGCUUGGUGGCACGAGGCUUCGUGCAGCAGGAGGGGGUCGACUUCGACGACGCCUUUGCCCCCGUAGCACGGAUGGAGUCCGUGCGACUUCUCCUUGCGCUAGCUGCCCAGGAGGGCUGGCGUGUCCAUCACAUCUACGUGCACCAGCCGCCGGGAUUUGUGAUUCCCGGCAAGGAAGGCAAGGUGCUUCGUCUGCGCAAGGCCCUCUAUGGCUUGUGGCAGGCACCGAGGGCGUGGAAUGCCAAACUGGAUUCCACACUGAAGGGGGUGGGCUUCGAGCAAAGCCCGCACGAGGCGGCCAUCUACCGGCGGGGCAGUGGACGAAAGGCCCUGCUGGUGGGUGUCUACGUCGACGAUCUUGUGAUCACCAGCACCGAGGAGGUGGAAAUCGAGGCGUUCAAGGAGAAGAUGAGGGCGACCUUCGAGAUGAGCGACUUGGGCCCUCUCUCCUUCUACCUGGGGAUCGAGGUCCUCCAGGACAGCUCCGGCACCUCUCUCCGCCAGACAGCCUACGCCAAGCGCAUUGUGGAGCUGGGCGGUCUCACCGGCUGCAACCCAGCCCACACUCCUAUGGAGGAGAGGCUGAGGCUGAGUCGGGAGAGUACGGAGGAAGAGGUGGACGCGACGCAGUACCGGCGCAUUGUGGGCAGCCUUCGCUACCUUGUCCACACGCGACCGGACUUGGCGUUCGCCGUCGGCUACGUCAGCCGGUUCAUGCAACGACCGACGAUGGAGCACCAGCAGGCCGUGAAGAGGAUCCUCCGCUACGUCGCGGGCACCUCCGACUACGGUUUGCACUACCCGAGGUGCCCCGGUGCGGCACAUUUCAUCGGGUACAGUGACAGCGACCACGCUGGCGACAUCGACACGAGCAAGAGCACCAGCGGGACGCUCUUCUUCCUCGGCAAGUGUCCGAUCAGUUGGCAGUCGGUCAAGCAGCAGAUGGUGGCUCUGUCCAGCUGCGAGGCAGAAUACAUCGCAGCCACUACCGCUUCUACUCAGGCUCUGUGGCUGGCUCGGCUGCUUGGCGAUCUCCUUGGCAGAGACGCAGAGGCAGUGGAGCUCAGGGUGGACAGCAAGUCCGUCUUGGCCUUGGCGAAGAAUCCAGUCUUCCAUGAGCGCAGCAAGCACAUCCGGGUGAGGUACCACUUCAUCAGGAGCUGCCUGGAGGAAGGGAGCGUUCGGGCCAACUACAUCAACACCCAAGACCAGCUCGCCGACUUUCUGACCAAGUCCCUUGGGCGAAUCAAGUUCCAGGAACUUCGCGCCAGGAUUGGGAUGGCUCAGAUACCCCACAAGGAGCCACACAAGACUUAGGGGGAGAAUGAUGGAUAAGUCUCUGUUGGCUGGUUGUGGGCUGCAGUAGGCUGCACAUGGUCCUUGUGUAGGACAGCAUCCUUGACUGCUUUUAGGACAGCAGUUAGCAUCUGUAGGACAGCAUCUUGACUGCUUUUAGGACAGCAGUUAGCAUCUGUAGGACAGCAUCUUAGACUAGCAUCUUGGCAUAUGCUGGCUGGUUAACAGCCCUAUAAAUAUGUAUCCCCAACCCCUCAGGUUGGCAUAGCAUUGUGUGAGAAAUAAACCCAGAAAAUUGCCCCAACUCUGUGUGCUAUACUCUCAAUGAGAGUAAGGAUCCUGCUCACACCUAGAGCAAGGAUCCAGCGACUAACAUGUUUUUCCCUGGAUUGCAUUUUCAUAGUCUGAUAGUGUAGUUAAUCCUGUUUUCCUGUUAUCAUAUGACUCACUGGUGUUUUGUACAUUUCAGAUCAAGGCUAAGUGCAGAGAGAGGCAAUACCUUACCUCUUGGAUGUUCAUCUCUAUAUUAAGGAGGUCAUCCAUAGGUUAGUCAUUUCGUCAUCACCAAACCAUUAUAAAAAUAAUUGAUUGAUUAUGAUAUCAUGCCUUGUGUUCUCUACUGAAUGUUUUAUGCUUUGGUGUUCUAAGUUCUGCUGUAAUCUGCACAGAUAUGCAGGUCUGGACCAUUGAUAUCUUUUGUCAUCAGUUUCUGCUUCUGAUGGUGUGGCUACCUGAGCAGUUUCUACCGAUUCUGUCUUAGCUUACCAAUUAAUGCAUUCACCAGGACAGAGCUGAAAAUAUGAAAUGGCAAGACCACAACCCUGAAGUUAAAGUGUUGGUAAGAAACUCAGAUAGGUGCAUAAAUGUCGAAUCACCUAGCUAAGAGUUUAAAGACAGAUGGUAGGUGUUGGAACUUGGAAGGCCAUGCGGCUCACCUUGUUAUGAACUCCAUCAGGAAUCAGGAAUUGUGGAAAGCUCAAGAACCACUUUCCUAAAUGGAAGAAAGACAACAAAUCUCAGUUAAAGGAGAUAAGGUAAACCCUUACACGGUUAGCAAUCAUGAUGAGAAAUUCCAGAAAAGAGGAAGAAGAUUGUGGACGAAAAAGUGCUCAAAGUAGAUGCGCAAGAUGAGCUGUGAGAUUUCUCCCUACAUUCUUCUGAUGUCGCGUCAAGGAUAAAGACCAAGAUUGGCCAGGCAGGCAAGGAGAAAUCCUCCUGGUAGGUCUCUCUACCAUAAAACUUGAUUGUCAAUGACAGCACUGUUAUUCUUCAGCUUAGCCUGUUAUAUCUCUCUUUUUUAUAAAAGAAAAUUGCAUCUGAAGCCUUGCACGGUUCAUCUUAGUUUUCUUUAGACAUGUCCUACUUGUCUUUUUUCAUUGUGGGGUUGCAGUACAAGAUUAAUUCUUUUAUAUCCUACUCUUCACUAUUUUCUUUAUGAUAGCCGUCUAAGGUUCAGAUAUUUUUCCCCUGGAACUAUGUAGGAGAACUGUGUGUCAUUUCAUCAUUAAGAAGAAGAUAGAAAUACAAAGGAAAGAGUGGAAUUGCCGUUUCCAGAUCUUGAUUCUGGACAAGGUUAGUACAAUGUGUCCGUAUAUGCAUCUAGGAUGUUAUUUUGAUUAAGGAAAACACCUUAAUUGUGGCUUCAAACUGCCACCUUUUUGCACUACUUGUGAAUAAAACUAUAUGGAGAAAAAUCAUAAAUUGAUGUUACUUUGAGAAAUUAAAUAAAACAAACAAGACACAAAAAAACUGUAAUACACAAAUAUAACAAACGCACUGAAUAUCAUAACUAAUGUCACAUGGUAUGUUUCAUGUUUGCUUAAUGUGUCAUCAAGGGCUAUCAUCAUUCUUGUCAUGAUCCAACAUCGUAUUAGAUAAAAGUAGACUAGAAGUUGAAAGAAUUAAAAAAUUCCUGUGACAUGCUAGAUUUGAUAAACCUAGCUAUUAUUCAAGUAUAUUUGAUGCAGUUUGCUCUACUUUAGUCACUUUAUGGCGCAGGACUCUCUGCGUCUUUCUUGGUGGAUGUGUGGGUUAUUUCUAUUAUAACUGCAUUUUAAAACACAUAUGUUGAAACUGGAAGGGAAGGAAACUUUUAGCCUUUGUAGGAGGUGAAGGACAUAGCAAAACCUCAGAAAAUACUUUCACGUCCUACCUGAUUGUGUUGUUGACUACUGAAUUGUCAAUGCAUACGUUUUUAGAAGAUUAUACAUUCUCUUGGAUUUUUUUUUUUAUCAUGCUAGUUAUAACCACAGGCUGUGUGUCCAUUGCGUUGUGCCAUACAUCAUAUGUGUCGUAGCAUGCAUUCUUCUAUACUUGGUAAGAUCGAGUAUUAUAGCCAUUAAAGUUUGCUAAGUAUUCUCUUCAUACCUAUAAAGAAAGUUGUUUAGGACAGCGACACGGUCUUCGAAGAGUAACUUUAACUCCUUGUUUUUAUAAAAUAUUUAUUAAAAGUGGUAUAUGUAUAUUUUUAUGACAAAUCUGUUCAUAUAGUUUUUACAUUUUUAAACUCAAUAACUUAAAAGUUAUUUAUGAUUUAUAUUCUCAAUGUUUGACUCAAACCUUGUCCAAAACGAUUUUUUUUAUAGGUAUGAAGGGAGUAGUGUUCUUUUACCUUAUGAUAAGAAACUUACAUUAUUAGGUGAUGUUUCUUUAGGAGUACAAGGACAUUGUCAUGCUGAGGUUAUAUCACAUGAGCAACAAGCAAUCCUAAGGCUGUUCUUGCUUUUUUUUUCCUUGUGAAGUUAAAGUGUGUGAAAUUCUUAUACGGAUCCUAUGAAAUUCCUGCGCGUCCAAGGAAUACCAAAAGCAAGUACUUACCAAGUACCGUGCGUCAAGUUACCUAUAUCUACCGAUUUUUUUUAAAUAUAGAAAUGAUGAAACCGCGUCGAAAACAAAUUCUAACCUAGCAGGAAGCUAAUUUACUCGAUUUUGAUAAACUACUGAGUAUAAUAAAAUAAAAGGUCUUGUUUAGACAAUGAUUCGAGAUAGAAAUGAAAUGAUUAAUCUUGGCCCAUUUGGUACACAGCGCUCGCUCGCUUAAGCAGCCCAGCCCGGCUUCGCCAACGCGCGCCACCUGCCCGAACAGGCCCUGCCCCGGCGCUGGCGCGAUCGCGUGGAGCGCACGCAGCAGGAAAAGCCACAAACGGCUGGUCGAUGCCCAUCGGGCUCAUCGCGUCUGCUCCAUAUUAUUUUUAUUUUUAUUUUUUUUCCCCCGCGCAGAAGGUUCCGGAAGCAAGAGACGCUUCCGGAUACAAGGCGUUCCGUUCUCUCCAGCUGUAUAAAUUCCGUCCCCACCCUGGCCUCUCCCGCACGGCUGCCGGCCUCACGUUUUCUUGCCCUGCUUCCAGAGGCUUCCUCCCCCCACCACUCCCCACUCUCCCAGUCAGCCCGCGUCCCCGUCUCUCUCCCUCCCUUCCUCCCAACACAGUUGAGAAGUCAGCACAAUGACUCAUAUCCUUGGCCACACAUGAUUUUCUUGUCCCCCUCUGUUUUUUUUUUUUCCUGUCGUUCUAUCGAUUCUUGCAGGGGCUUUUCUUUUCGUCUCUGCCAGAUUCUUUUUCCUUUUGAUAUUUUCUGUUGUAAAGUAGAAGUAGAACCGGUGUGUUUCGGAUGACGUUGCUGUUUUUGUCCUUGACCUGAGCUGGCGGGCUGCACGCGGCGACCAGAGGGAGCGCGACCGGCAGAGGGCGCAGGCGCGGCGGCCCGCGGCCAAGGGGCGCGACGACGGGCUCACGCCGGAGCAGCGGCGGGAGCGGGACGCCAAGGCGCUGCAGGAGAAGGCUGCCAGGAAGGCGGCGCAGGCCGCGGGGGGCGGCGCCGACGCCAAGGGCGGCAAGAACGCCAAAGGCAAGAAGUAGUAGCCGGGGUCUCCGGAUUUGUGCAGGAGGUUUCGUUUCUCCUCCUGAUCUGGCGAAAUUGGUUGGGUUUGUCUUGGCAGUUGGUGAUUGUGAGAAAGCUGUGUGUUCGUGCUGGAACUUGUAGGAAGAUCUGUAUUGCUUGGAUCUGGAAAAUCUGGAAUGCAAUGCGAUUUUAUUGGUGUUGUCACUUUGCCUUGCAAGUGUUCUGCAGUAAAAAAAAAAAAGAUAACAAAUGCAAUGCGUUAAUAUCAAAGAUAACAAAAAGGGGGAACCACGGCGUUGGCACUUUGCUUUGCAAGUGAUUUACUGUAGUGCAACAAGGCCUGUUUGAAGGUAAUUUUAUAUUUACAAAAGGAUGAGCUCAUUGCCCAUCAAAAGUUAACGAACAUCGACCAACCAAACACACGGACAUGAAGCCUUAUGAAACAACUUCAUAUUCACAAAGUUUUCAGUUCAGUAUUUACAAAUUACAAUUCACCACUACAACACAUGAUCUUCUUUCUUUUUUAUGAGCUGUGCUUACUUUAGAUUGCAUACGUAUGUUUUUGUAGCCCAGAACCACGAGCAGUAAAAGAUCACUCGCUGCACGGUCGACUCAAUCUAUAUCAGAAGCCUGUUGAUCACGUGCACUGGUCCAUUUUGCUACCUGGCCGUCCCAGGAUGAGCUCACAAGCGUGGGCUCAAAUGGGUGCCAACUGCAGUCACGAAUCGCCAUUUGAUGCCAUUUCAGCUUCGCAACUUGCGAUCCACUUACCUGCAACACGAAACGAAACUGAGAAUCAAAAUCAACUGGCAUUGUUUAUCACUAGUACUCCGUAACUGGUGUUCUGUGUUCUCGUCAGAUGAUGCACAGUUUCUCGGCAGGUAAAACGAAGUUCUCUAUCCACUGCUGUGAAAGAUGGCAUACAUUCAUCGAGCAGACAGAUUAAGAUUACCACCAAGGAAUGCUGGCAUAAAUGAAGUGCGUAUCAGGACAAAACAUACCACAUCAUAGAUGUAAACGCAGGAAUCAUACGACCCUGUAUAUAUGUACUUUUGCCCAGUGCUGCAGAAACAAAAAACUAGACAUCAAUCACAUGAGCACCUAGAUAUACCGUAUAAUUUGAUAAAUAGCACUUAAUCCUAUUGGUUGCUCGUAUGAUAAGGAGACGACUUCCCUAGUAGAACUGUCAAUAAAAUCAUACCAGAAUGGAGGUAAAAGGGUCACCUGUAAGCAGGAGAAAAGUAGCAACGGAUCAAUGUCCGGAGGACUGCAUGUCCACGGUAUGUCGCUAAUGACUGAUCAUGCGGAUGCUUUAACUGUUUAUGCUGCUGCGGAUACCUCGAAUAUCUGUAGUCCCAACUUGGGGCUCCGUCUGCACAACUGCAUAGAAGAAUAGAUUAACUUUAUACUGUAAGAUGACUGGCCACUGUUGAGGGUGACAACACAUAAUCCUCGUGUACAUCAGACACAUUUGACAUUAUUGCCUUAACACACUCUCAUUCCACUUAUAAGUUCAUUUUGGACUCAUACACAUGGAGUAACGUGGGUGGUAUUAUGAUCAUAUUGCCCAUAAAUCAUUGUAAGCACAGUUACAAUGAAAAAAGGAGCAAAGCAGAAAAGAGAAGGCAAAAUGUGUCAUAUAUUGUAUAUGAAUUUAUGUUGGUAGAAGAAUGCGGAUGGCUAGGUGGAGUGGUGGACUUAUAUUUAGAUUCAGAGAAAGUACCUAUCAGCAUUGGACGUCAUUUUCCUGACAUCCCACAGUUUGAUUGCUUGGUCUUUUCCAUUGGAUAUGAAACUUCGGCCAUCUCCACGACUAUCAAUAUGUGUUACCCCAUGCAAAUGUCCAGUCAAAACUCCGGCAGCUUGUCCUGUGGACAAACACCGCCUGUCCCAAACCUGCACACUACAAAUGUCACAUACUGCAGCACUGCUGAAAUGAAUGCAAUUUAGAACAUUAAACAUUUUCCUUUAUGUUCCCAGGGAGACCUCAGAAUAUCCAGCCCUAAAGAACUGAAACAGGACUGUGAAAAAUCCAUAACUGACUAUUGUUCAUUCCUCAUAUUCUCUCAUUCUAACACACAUAUAACCCCUCAACUAUUUUUUGGCCCACAUUAGCCCGCAAAUUACUAAAAUUAGGACACUAUGAUCCCUAAUAACAUUUUGUUUUUUUCUCCUUGUAAAAGUUACAUUUUAAGUUUUGGUGAUGGUAGAAAUAGUUUGAUCUUGUUUAUUAUCAUCAAACAUUUACACAUCUUUGGGAUUAAAGCAGUUUCAAGUGCUCCAACCUAAUACUAAUAGUCAUGAAAAUAUUUCAUAACAUAGCAUGAUGCCAUCUAUCAUCCCACAAAAUUUCAACUUGUAACACUACCUGUGUACAACAAAAUUGUUCAGGGGUUAAACUGAAAAAUAGUUUGAGGGGUUAUCCAGACAACUAAAAACAUCCUAGGAAGUAAAAUCCCCCCCCCCCCCCCCCCCCUCCAUGUAUGAUGAAGAAAUCUGAGGAAGGAGAAAACAAAUAAUUUUACAUAAUUUAGAACAACAACCUACCUUGCAUAAAGUGUCAUCACUUCCAGAAUAUAUGAGAUGGCCGGUUUCAUCAGCAAAUGCUACUGUAUUGACAUCAGACUGGAAAGAUCAAAAUCGAAUGAUAACAUCAUUCUAUAUACCAAAACAGACAAAUAUGAAGUAUAGAACUACUAUCAAAAUGGUAAACAAUUCGCAGCCACAGAGCAAGUAAGAGAGGUUUCGGUAGCUGUGACAGACACAUAGCACUCCCGUCUGUUGGGUGCAUCAUAAAACAUCCAGAUAUAAGUUUACAUUCUUUUGCAUUUGUCAUCUAACAAUGUCCAAUAAAUAGCAUAAAUGGAAAAAGGCUACCAUGAUUGGAAACUUUUCUUAUGUAUGGCCUGACUUAUUUUGGCUGCUAUAUCAAAGCAAAAGUCAGCUUCACUCCAGUGGACUUCCACAACAGUUCAUUUCACACCCACAACUUUCAAAAUGCUUGGCAAUCGACAUGCAGAGAAAGUGUACAACAAGAAGAGGAACUCAUCACUACCAAAGUUUGAGUUCCUGACUCCUAGCUAUUUGUUCUCAUUGUGCUUGUUGCUCUACCAUGUACUUGUUGCUUUUCGUCUUUUUCUCCUUUCUCUUCUUCAUGAUGAAAAACAUGCCCAGCAUGUUCUAAAAAAUAGUCAUAGGUUGUAGGUACAUAGCACAAGGUGAAGAGGGUGGCAUUGGAACUGGGGCCAAUGGGAAACCACGGCCCAGUGCCACAUUCCACUCAAGGGGUUCACACAUUGCAGUGCUGGUUGGGCUUGCGGUAAUUCUGCUGUAAGGUGCAAACUGCCGAAGAGGUAUUGAGUGGGGCAAAUGGAAGGGGCCAGAGAGGGGGAAGGAGGACAUUCUAUAUUGUCAGCAAGAUGCAAGGUAGCAUGAGAAGUGUAACCUGUCAAAUUGUGAUAAAAUUGAAGAGGAUUAGUGGUACAGCAGCACGAUAUGAGUCAUGAGAAUAGAUAGGGGAGUUCGACACUAGAAAUCUGCCUUUUCUUUCUUAAAGAUAGAAGGCAGAACACCUUUAUAAACCCCUUCAGUUUGACUUAAAAAUACAGGCCACAACCACUCAUCCACACCUUUCUCCAGCUCAUAAUUCAGUGACCCUACUUGAUAAGCAUUUCUCCAUUAUGUUCUGUUUCCAUCCUUGGUGAGGGCCUCUCAUAUUUCUUCCAUCAACUUAUGCUUUCUCUGCUGCUUCUCACCAGCCAGUGGCAUCUUCCCUCUACCCAGAACUAACUUGUCCCCAAGCAAGCAUAAUUCUGUCUCUUAAAAAAAUUGUGCAAUGCAAGAUAAAAGUGUUCCUAGGGGUUGGUUGAAAUGGGGUGUUAAUCAGUCCUUGCUUGGCGCCUGAGGCACCAUUUCCUAGCCAUUCUUCAGUGCACGAGAAUUUAUUGUGGUUCAUGUCUAGCUUAAAAUAAUAAAAUCAACCAGGCUGGGAACCAUGUAUGCCAAACAGUGCACUUGGCUUAUUAGAACAUCUCCAACUUGUUUGCUGCUGUACCGAUCAGCUCCAUAAUCUUAAAUUUCAAUACCAUCAGCUCUGUAACCUCAAAGGGCUUAAAGUUUCAAUACAGGAAGGUCAAAACUGCACUUAUGCAGUUAUGCCUAUGCUAGUAGCUCCUAAAUUGGCAUGGCAGACAUUCAAGGCAGGGGCUCCUGUGUCUUUUUUAAGCACACCAAAACAAAUGACCCAUACCACUAACCUGUUGUGGAAUAGAUCCACAAACAAGUACAAGUGGCCCCGGAACCUUGGUAGGAUCCAAAGGCUAGGAGUGGGAGUGCGGCACAACAGUUGGUGGAUGCUACAUGCUUAUUUCUCAAUGAAUUAUCUCCACAGACCCUUAGCUCUCUAAUCAUUCUUCUCGCCUAGGAAAUUCGCAAACAUAAGAAUGCCAUUGUCUUUGAAGGUGCUAGACCAAACAUUCAGAAUCUCCUUCUCACAGUACCUACUGAAAGCAGGCUGUGGUGUUUGGCUGGCACCUCGGCCCUCCAUGAGCUCCUUAGGUCGCAAGGCCCCGACCCUUGAGGGUGGUUGGAGCAGGGCUGGUUGUUGUCAUGUUGUGCCCUUAACUUGGCAUGUCUUUUUGUACUCUCCUGUGUGUUCGGGAGGGGCUUUUAGCCUUUCCUUUUUCUGCAUGAUGUUUGGACCUUUUUCCUUCUUAAUGAAAUGACCCUUCUUGACUGACACCCCCCCCCCUCCCCCUCAUCCUUCCGUACAUGUGGAAGGGAUGAUCCUGGGAUAUUUGGCUCUGGUCUAUCCCUCCAUCCUGGGACAGCCCUUUCUCCAACAGAGGGUACUGCGUUCUGGCUUGGGAGAGAACUGAGGUGCACCCCCCAAAACCAUUCUUCUGCUGAUGGAUUUUAGGAAAAACUAUCCUCAUCGCUGCUUCCCAGACCCGUCCCAGGGGAAUCCAACAGAGGAUCCCUUUGGUGAAUGGCUGAAUGCUGAGGGGGGCUUCCUCCGAUGGCUGCUUCUGUCUAGCUAGCAAACUCCAGAGGGACCCCUGUCGGGACAUUCUCCGGGGACCUCCUUCCAAGGGCCUCCAGGAAUCAAGAGAUGGCCCACUUCUCCAACAAUACCUUGGAUCAGCAAUAUCAUUUCUUUCUUCUGAAACUCAUGUCUACAGUUUGGAUAUCAAUACUGCAGCUUGCCAGACAAGGGGGAGGGACAUAAGAAUUGCAUUUGUACAAAGCAUCAACAGAUUUUCUUGGAGCAAUCAGAUAACAGAGCAUAACCAAAUUAAGAAAUAGAGUUGUAGAUCAAUCCCAAUCUCCCAAGAGUCAGAUGUCAACUAGAAAAAGGACUCCAUGUAAAUGUAGCAAAUUUAAUUUAUUACCUCUGUCCCAAAAAGGAUGCAAUUAUGGGUUUGGAUGGAGUCAAAGUUCCUUAAGUUUGACUAAGUUUAUAGAAAAUGUUAUUAACAUUUAUGACUCUAAAUAGGUAUGGAAAUAUACUUCAUGGUGAAUCAUAAUUAUUAGAUAUCAUAAAUAGUUUUUUUUUGGUACGUAUUUGGUCAAAGUUGAGAUAGAUUGGCUUGGUAGAAAGCUGGAAUUGCAUCCUUUUUGGGAUAGAGGGACUAGAUCAAAUGAAAAUCAAAGGAAAUAUAAGCAAGAAAGUAAGCAAUUUUCAUACUGUAUGAGCAGGUAAACGUAAUGUCAAUUUGUUUGCAUGAAGGUCAUAGACAUAUAUUGAUUCAUCAUUGCUGCCAGCAACAAGUUCCCGUCCAUCAGAGGAAAAUUUCACGGAAAAUAUUCCAAACGAAUAUUGAACAUCCUCAUGCUGUGAAAAAUCCAAUCCAUCAUGGAUGUCCUGCAGAAAAAUGUAAAAUUGUAAUUACUGUUGACUAGGUAUAAUAAACAGUAAAGGAUGUUACAUCUAACAUGGUACAUCUCCAAAAGGUAUUGUAACUGCUUUCAAGCACCCACAUUAAUUAACUGCUAAACAAAGUGAAUAUCAUCCCUAAGUACAUAUAUACAAAUUCUAUCACGUAACUGAGCUCAUCAAUAUAUUCGUAGGUUCAUCGAUUAAACUGAAUGGUAAACACACUUACUAGGGGAGGGCAGGUACAUCUCGUCUUCUAAUAUUUAGCACCAACCAGCUGAUGGAUUGAAUGCCAAUUUUAAGAAAUAAAAAGUUAAUGAAUUGGCUAUUAUUUUAACAAGAAACCACUCCUAAAUCCCCAGAGGCUCCUUGACUAAAAUAGGUUUGGUGCUUGUAUACUUUCCUCAAUUUAUUCACAAUGGAAGUUAAAAAGAAAUGCAGUUGUGGAUGAUUAACAUAAAAAUCAUAUUAUUGAAGAAACAUGUUUCUAUGAAGUCAUUGUUUGCUGUGCAACCAGGCAUGUGAAAGUCCAAAGCAAACCCAACUGUAUCGACUUUUUUAUCAUAACAAACUCGAAAAGCAAAUGAGUGCAAAGUACUCUAGUAAGAACUCACAGUGACGUUAGCAUAGGAUUCUCUUGCCGCAUUUCCGACAUUAACAAUAUGGACAAUAGGUGCCAGACUAGAGUAGGCCUGCAGAUUGAUAAUCAAAAACAAUGAUUCAGCCUGAUAUGCAAGCAAAAAUGGGGAGCAAGACAGCAUUCCACAGACUGAUGAAGUACAUAUAUACAUAAAUGAUAAUAUGAUAUGCAAACAUAAAAAGCUAGAAUGCAUUUUGAAACAUCCAAGACAUGGUCAUACCAAAAAACAAAAUAUGUAACAACAUGUCAUGAAAGGGCGGACUAGAAAUGAAAGAACCAAAUGGACUAGACGAAGUCUAAAAUGUCCCUGUAAACUUCAUUGUCCUACAGGUACUUCCAGUCAUUAUAGUGUAUUUAAUGGUUAGAACAACGUUGAUACAUUUAAUCUUCUAAAAUGUCCCUGUAAACUUCAUUGUCCUACAGGUAUUUCCAGUCAUUGUAAUGUAUUUAAUGGUCAGAACAACUUUGAUACAUUUAAUCUUGGUAGCCAGACACAGUAAGGUCCAUAUUGCAAAAAAACGUUUUUGGAUACUAGUUUCUUUGAUAACUGUCCAGAUGAAACAUCCAUUUCCCAACUUCAACAUGUUUCCACUAGAAGAACUGGAAACUACUGUCAAAAACACAAUAAUGAAAAAGGAAAACCUUGUUGUAAAACAUGUAAUGUAACCACAUCUGAUACUCUUCGGUUUAUUCACAUCUGUUGAACAGAGUUGCAUAUUGAAUAUUUCUUCUCAAUAAGAAGAAUGAUGAAAGAGAUUUAUUUACAAUGAUGACCGAUGAAAAGUGAAUAAGGGUGACAAGCUAAAGUUGUGAAAAGCCAGGAGAAACUUACAAGAUACCGCUGAUCAGGUGAUAAGGAUACAUCACUGAUUGUCCAUCUCAAACACCUAGCAUGAAUGUCUUUGUGUAUGCUCCAGCCUCUAUCAGCAUCAUAUAUUCUUAUGUGACUUCCCUGAAAACGAAAAGAAAUGUUAUUAUUAUAUUAUGUUUGUAGCUUUAAUUUUAAAAAAUGCAUAACAUAGUGACAGAAAAAGUAAACUAAACACCGGGAAAUUCUGACUUGAACUUGCUAAAAACCUUGACUAUUGUUGGUUGAGCAUAGCAUACCUGAAAACCAGCAACAAAAAGAGUGCCAUCAGCAGAAAACUGCGAAACAUAAGCACGAGAAUCCAUCCUAUCCAAUAACUGAGGGCCGUUCAUUGGAACAUAGCGACCUAGAACAAAUGCACGGUCACCAGAAGAGAACAUCCUCUUUCCAGAACAAUCAAUUUCCCUUUGAGAUAAUAACUUGGCCGUUGAUAUUAUGCCUCUGUUGGUACCCAUGGACUUGUAGCUUUCAGUAAGUCUUGAUCUCAUUCGGGUCAUAUGAAAAAUAUCGUUAUGCAGUUCUGCAAACUCAUUGUUCACUUGAACUGAGCCAGAUCCAUCAGUAUUCUGCCCUUCAGGCUCAUAGUAUUCAUCUUCUAGCCUACUCAUGCCAUAACCCAUUCUUUCAGGCUGAUGAUGUAUUUAUCAAUUCUCUCUGCAAACGCCUAUCAAUGUUCAGAUUCAAAGGCUUCCUAUAAAAAUUGGAAAGUUCCCAAGGAACAACGAAAUUUUGUUACAUAUUUGCAAUUGCGUAAAAAGGCACAUAUCACGUGAGAGCAGCUUAUGCUGGGCAUGAUCGUUGAAUGUGGUUCAAUUAACUAGAAUUCACAAGCCCAACUCAAACCUCUGGUUUAUGCUCUAUAUACACACUAUAAAUUGAGGUACUGCAUCAUAAAAUAUAUCAAAACAGUGAAACUGCAUCUGUGAACAUGCAGGAACAGAGGUUUUACUACUGAGAGUUACUAGCUAAAUCAGGGGCGAACCCACUAAAGGGCAUGGGUAUACACAGGUACACCCGAUAAUUUUUGCCAAAAAAUAGAGUUAGUAGGCAUAAUACUACAUGCCCACUACACUUGUAAUUACAUCAGAUUUGAAAACAAAUAGCUUAAGUUAGGGGAAGAAAAGGGGUAGGCGUACCUGGUGGGUGCUCGCCGCCGGCGAAGGGCCCAAAGAAGGCCUGAGCAAUUGGCGUAGGGCAGCGGCGGCGGCUGUCGCCACGAGCCCGCGAGAGAAAGAGCGCGCUCACGCCGGGGGCACGGGAGAACCACGCGAGAGCGAGAGAGACAGGGGGAAGAACUGGUCACUGGAGUCGCCCGGCCGGACGGGAUAACAAAGAUGCAGGGCCGCUCGCAGAGGCUUUGCUCGCGAACGUUUUUUUAACAUUUUUUUUAUAUAUACUUCCUCAAACAAUUAAAAAGAUAGAUGCAAUUAUACGUUUGGAUGGAGUCAAAUAUACUUUUUUUUACAAGAAGCCAAAUAUACUUAAAAUUGACUAAGUUCAUAGAAACCAGAAAAUAUUAUAAACAUUUGUGACUCUAAAUAGAUCUAAAAAAUAUAUAUUCCAGAAUUAACCUAAUUACAUAUAUUUUUAUAUUAUAAAUGUUAAUGUGCUUUUUUGAUAUAUUUGAUUAAAUUUAAAAUUAUUUGAUUUGUUAUGAAAAAAUACAUUCUCCUUUUAUGGAAAGAGUAACAACCAUGCAGCGAUCAACUAGUUCUCUAAAUAUAUGUUUCAAGUUUAGCCAUACCAUGUCGACAAUACAUCAAACUACAACUAUUAUAUGAACAAGAAGAUACCCAUACGGAGAUUAUUGGGAGAUGAUGUGGAUGGCUUGCAUGUUGAGGCAGACUUAUAGUGGGUAUCAUCAGCUUUAUAAGAGAUAUAGAUAUAGAUUAUCCACCUACUAUCACAAACGAGGCAUCAAGGGUGUGUAGUAUGAGACAGUAAGCCAACCCAUGAUGACAUUCUUCUUGUGUCAUUAACUUCCAUGGCUUUUUCACAAUGUUGACUCCACAAUAACAAAUCAUGCCGCAAAACGGUUGAAUACAAACCAUAGUUUGACUCAAAUCCAACAUUGGAGAAGAGGAGCAACACAAAAUCAAAAUGUGACUAACAUGUGUUUUACAAUGGAAAUACCAUGUGAGAUAGUAGCAAACUAAAUGACCAUAAGUGUCUUAGCCAUGAAGACUUGGAUUGUUGAUUGGCGUAUGGCACAAAGGAUAUUCUUGAAGACUAAAGAUACAACAAAGUGAAUGCAAGGUUGGGAUUCGAAGAUAUUCAUUGUACUGUGCAUUAGAGUUUUAUGUUUUCCUGCUGUACUAUUAAGAGGGGUCUGAGAUAUGCAUCUUGAGGGAAUUGAAAUGAGAAUAUUUGGUAGCACAAGAUACUUACUCUUGUUUGAGACUUAGGCAUAAGAGGCUCAUUCGGUAGGUUUUAUGUAUAGGAUCUAAAAAAAAUUGAAUUAGGACAAACCAAACUUAAAAUAGACUUGGAAAACACUAGAGCAUGCAUUAGACGAUAGGGACGAUACUUGGUGGAUCAUCCAUGGCAUUAUGUGCAGGGCAAUAAUUACUCAAUUGUAGUAACAGAGUGCCAUUAUAUACUCUGGUUUGCCUUCAUGGCACUCGGCGGAUCGCUCGAUGAGGCUCAAUCCUUUACUAUCCUCAAGCGUCCAUCCUACUUAUGUGCAUUGUAUGAUCUAGCGUGUCUUGGUGGCACCUAGCAGAUUGUCUGGUUAACUUGUUGACAAGUUGUCUUUGAAAACAUAUAGUCCCCUAAUUCAGUUUUGGUGAUUAAAAAUGACACAAUCAUUGUGGCUAAUGUAUGUUUUAUAACAAUAUUACUUAGUGAGAUCACAUUGAUGAGAUUGAUUGGCAAUUAUGAUUUUCAUGCCCCUAAUGAUGGAAUUCAUUUUGGUUGCACGAAGGCUAGGAACUAUCUAUUUCUAUAUGUUGAUUGGAGAUGGGAGACACUUGGAAUAGUGAUAGGUUCUUUGUCUUAUCCUUUGGACAUACUAUUAAGUGGAUAUGAUUACAUAGCUUGACAUUCGUGAGAUUAUUGAGUGGAUGUGAUGCACACUUGUGAAAACUAGCACUAGAUAGCUCAGAUAAAGCUUAAGGAUCAAUGAAAUCAAAACCAAACUCAAAGGUGUUUGUAAUGGAUGAGUUUGGAUUUAUAGGAAGGCCCCAAAGUUUACUCACAGUGUAACUAUUGAACUGAAAAUGGGGUGAAUCUACCUUUAUCUUCCUAUGUGCCUUAGAGUGCUGACACCAGGGCUUUGGAAUAGUAUACUGCAAACUUAUGGCUCGGAGGAGUAAAGGGCGUCGGAGCUCCCCACCAGAGCUUUGAGUGUAGAGGGAGGUGUUGGUAGCCCACCUGAGCUCUCUAGUGGCUCAUCAAAAUGUCCUAACGGAUAGUUCUAGGCUAAAAGAGUAAAGGAUGUGCCAGAACUCUAAUGAAAAGGCACAUCAGUGUAUGCAUUUUGACCGAGUGGAGUUUGAAUGGCUAUUUUUUAGACUGCGACCUAUAAAUACCCUUUUCACUUUUCUGCAGAUUGGCUCCCAUGGACAUAAAAUACCUCAGUAUAUAGUCAACAUAAAAUUUGAAUAAGUAAAUAGUUUCUUUGAAAAUUACAAAAAAGAUAGUUUUAUUUUUCAAAUGUUAGGAAAAAAAACUUAAAACAAAUUUCAGCUCAUUACUAUAUGUAAAGUUUAAAAAGUCAUCUCUUUCGCUGUCAAGGUCAAAAAAAACAACCAAAUUGAUCUUAUAGCUCUAGAUUGUAACUUCAAAGAUACAAGGACAAAAUAAAUAACCAAAUAAAGACAGAAAAAACAUGAAGAGGGCAAUGGUGUAGAAUUCUCAUUUGCAUUGUACUAGAUUUUCGCAUGCUAAUAAAAAGACAAAGAAAUCACAAGUGGUAUUUAUAUGAGAGGGUUACACGCAUGCAUGCACACAGAACUAUCAUCAUCUAAGAACUUGUGACCCCUCCAUGCCACUUUUCUUCCCCCAGCAUGUCGUACGCCUUGACAUUUCCAGCAUGUCUUAUAGCUUGUUGUAGCUCUAAUUAAGUUUGUCAAGCUACUGUUCGUGGCCAACAUCAGUCAGUACAUCACCAUCGAUGUUGACAAAGUGAAUUACAAUGAUUGUCGAUAAAUCUAUCAACUCUCAUGGCUCUGAUAAGCGUCAUCUAUUUGUCCAUGUAUCAAUCAAACAAUCUACAAUUACGCCUUGUUUAGUUUCGAAAACGAAAAGUUUUCGGAAUUAUAGCACUUUCGUUUUUAUUUGACAAACAUUAUCCAAUUAUAGAGUAACUAGGAUUAAAAGAUUCAUCUCGUGAUUUAUAGGUAAACUGUGCAAUUAGUUUUUAUUUUCGUCUAUAUUUAAUACUCCAUGCAUGUGACGUAAGAUUCGAUGUGACGGGGAAUCUUGAAAAGAUUUUGGUUUUCAGGGUGAACUAAACAAGGCCUUACCUAAACUCUAGUAAUCUAAAUUUUAGUUUUCAACUACAGAGUAGUGUGGAUUAAUAAGUAGUCCUAUAUAUACUGUAUAUUUAUAUUCUCAGACUCGUGGGCUGAGCUGAGCUCUUUCUCUCGGCUGGGUCGUGGACCCUUGUGGGCCUACACUACACCCGCACAGGCCCUGGACCAUGCCCGGUUCAGUAUUGUACUGUACUCUCUCUUAGGCCGGUUUAUUUUCAAUUUCUUUUUUUUCAAAAAUAGACACUUUAACAAUUUUAUUUAUAUUUGAUAAAUAUUGUCUAAUCAUCAACUAAAAAGACUUAAAAGAUUCGUCUCGAAAAUUAUAGACAAAUUAUACAAUUAGUUAAUUUUUUAAUAUGCUGCAAAAUUUGAUUUAACGGAGAAUUAAAAAAUUUUGUAAAAUUUUUUAGAAACUUAAACAAGGCCUUAUCCAUAGCGCAGGAGCGGAGAAAGAAAGAGACAGUGUGUUGUAUUGCACCAGUGGCAGGUGGAUACGCGAGGAGUAGAUAAGCUAGCAGCACGAGGGCCAGCCUUGACUUUUCCUUCUCUCUCUCCAUUCCCCGGGAAGAAAAAUAGAGCGUGUACAGAGAGAGAGAGAGAGAGAGAGGGGGUACCAGACAGAGUAGUGCGGUACCGUAGUAGACCAGCGGGCGCAGUGGUAGGAGGGGACUAGGCCUUGUUUAGUUGGCAAAAUUUUGGCUUUUGGGCUACUGUAGCACUUUCGUUUUUAUUUGACAAACAUUGUCCAAUCACGGAGUAACUAGGCUCAAAAGAUUCAUCUCACAAAUUUCAGGUAAACUGCGUAAUUAGUUUUUAUUUUUAUCUUUAUUUAAUGCUUCAUGCAUGUGACCAAAGAUUCGAUGUGACGGAGAAUCUUGAAAAUUUUUGCGAACUAAACCAGGCCUAGGGUGGCCUCAGCAGCAGCAGCAGGCCUGCGUGCGCGCGGUGGCGUAGGCAGAUGAGGGAGAGGACUGCGUGUGGGGGUAGACGGGGACACGUUUCGAGCUCCGGCUGGUGCGCGCGUCCCUCUCGGCGCAAAGCAACGCAGAGCCCUAUCGCUUCGUCUCGUCGUCCGCCAGCCCCGGCCCGGUCCGCUUCGUACGCUGCUGCCAGCCACCUUGUCCGAUCCGUCCUCUCGCCCCUUUUUUUUUUUGGGUCCGCCACCGUGUCCUUGGCUCCAAAACCCGGUCCGGGACGGGAUAUUUUAGCCGGACUUUUGGUGAGCAGACGUUAAAUCCAAAAAAAAAAAUCAACCAGAUGUCUCGUUCGGAAAAAUUGUUUGUAGAUCAACGCCAUACAACCUUGUAUCAUGCCAUGCUUCUUCAGAUAACGACGCUAAUAGAGUAGAGGGCAGGGGAUGCGUGCACAUUUGAUUUAGGAAAAAAAAUAUUGAAUGUCAUUGAAACUUAUAACUUUUUCUUAUAUGCCAUUGAAAAUUAAGACUUUCACUGCUAUUGAAUUGUUUUUUUCUGUUUCCCUUAUAGUAUGUCAUUGACGUUUGAAAUCAGUUAAGAUGAAUGUUAAAGGAUGGACGAAGUGGCAAUUACACUCGUACCAUCAGCAUAGGUAUAACCCACAAAACUUAGAGAUGUUUCUUUCAUGCCAGCUAGUAGCACUUAGAUAGUACCGCUACAUGUAUUUUGAACCCCAGACAAAUUAAACACACACCCGCAAAAACACACACACACACACACAUUUAAAUCAAACUAGGGAUUCUGAACUAAAACUCGAUCUACUGCGCGAUUAGCACAGUCGCAAAAAAAAAGUGCACGAUUAGCACGAUCCAUCCUUUCAGCCCAACGUUGGUUGCUUAACACGUUGGCUUGUGACCAACGAGCGGCGACCAAAUCUCAUCAGGGAUAGAUGAGCACUAAGCUGGAAUUGGACAUGAUGACCCUUUUUUUUUUCUCUAGAUACUCGUGGAUCACGAAGGGCCCUUUUAAAAGUGUUUUUAUUGCGUGGAAUUACUAGAGCCAAGUGGGGGGUAUAGUACUACUACAAAGGAAUCAAGGAUUUCCAUUUCCGCCACACGCUGCGAUUUCCAUUUAGGUCUCCUCGUCCCGACCAAUUACCACCCCCAAGCUGCUGGCGAUCGAUUCCGACGGUCAUUCGCUGGCUGCUGCUUUCUCACUCAGGGCUUGUUUAGUUCACCCUGAAAACCAAAAGGUUUUCAAGAUUACCCGUCACAUCGAAUCUUGUAAAACAUGCAUGAAGCAUUAAAUCUAGAUCAAAAUAAAAACUAAUUACACAGUUUGUCUGUAAAUCACAAGAUGAAUCUUUUGAUUCUAAUUAGUCUAUAAUUAAAUAAUAUUUGUCACAAACAAACGAAAGUACUAUAUUAGCGAAAAAAAAUUCGCAUCUAAACAAGACCUCAGGCGGCCGGAGGAAUGUGCGGCCACUUACAUGUCCUUGUCACAGCCCGCCGGCGGCACUAAUAACCCGCCUGUCAUUUCCCGGAUUACCGAAUGCUAUGCUGCAUUCCUGCCAGUGCGUGCCCCACGCCACGCGCGAGCAACGCACGCAGCUUGGGAUUGAUUCGACGUGGCACUGCCUUGCAUCAAAGAUCAUUAGGGCCCAGACAGUGUCUCUCCAGGUAAAUCACUCGGUAUAUUCAGCGGAGGAGAAUCAGCGUGCACUGCCAUCUGCCAAUACGUGUUGAGAUCAUGUCCCAAAAUAUAUCGGUUAUCAUUUUUAAGAUUAGCAUAUGACUCGUUUAGCACAGCUUCACUUUAUCGGUAAAGCUGUUUUUCUUUUUUGGACUUUAACUCGAUAAACAUUUCUAUGAGUGAAGCAGGAACUCUUUUACUAAAUUAUUUGACAAACUAGCUCCACAUGUAGAACUUCUUUAAAACUAGCUCUCAGAGAAUGCUAUAUAAGACGAGAUGACGUCGGUACAAGCCACUAUUUUUGCUUUCUUCCAAUCCUAAAGCUCUGUGAAAGCGUGUUUUUAGGGGUUUUAUUGGUAGAGACGUUUUAUUUUAUCAUGUUUGGCACAAAACAGCUCCAAACGGCUCCUUAAGCCGUUGGAGAAGCUCUUCCAAACAGUACCUAUAUGUUUGACUUACUCUUCUAAAUACUUGUUGCUGAUAUAAAAAAAUUCCACAAACUCAAAGAUCGAACAACUUAACCCACAACUUUUAAAAUAGGGCGGAAUACCUCUUUCGCUAUUUUAAAGUGGUUUCCUAUGGAUAUGCAGAUAUGGCGGUAGGCCCAUAUCUCAGGUGGUUUCAUUCUUUUUUUACAUAAAAAAUUCAUAACUUUAUAUUAAGUAGGAUGAAUACAAACUUUAUAUCAAAAUUAUAAAGAUUGAUGUGAUCUAUAACUUUGUAGUUGCGAAAUUUUUUCUUUGUGAUCUUUUAUAAGCUCAAAUGUCCAUUUUAAGUUACCACGUUUUUAGAUUUAAAUUUUAAUUUUUCAAAUGACCUACGAUGUUGACAUAGUAAAACAAAGUUGUCUCUCCAUACGAUCUACAACUUUGUUGUUGAUAAUUUUUUCAUCUGAGAUCAUUUAGAGGGCUAGGUAUCUAUUUUUAAGUUCUCAUAUUUGAAAUUUAUUUUUUUCAAAUGACCUUGCAUGUUGACAUGUUCUAUACCAAAGUUCGAGCUGUAAAUGUAAUCUACAACUUUACAGUUGACUUAUUUUUAUAUGAGAUCAUUUAGAGGCUCAACUAUUCAUUUUGAGUUCUUAGCAUAUUAAAUUUUAGUUUUAAAAUCUUUAAAAUGACCUUGAAUGGACAAACACAUUUGUAACACACUGUAGUUCCUGUAGAGAUCUAAAACUAUACAUUUGAUUUUUUUUCCCCAUAUGAGAUCAUUUAGGAGCCCAAAUAAUGAAUAAAACAUGAUAUGCCUAAAAAAUUGAAGAAAUGUAGGGCCGACAUGCCACAUCAACCAAGAUCACUAUAAACUAUUCUUAGUGUGGGGUGGGGGGGGGGGGGGGGGGUUAAUUUACCUAGUUUUGAAAAUUAAAGAGACAAGAUAUGGUAUUCGAGUUCGAGAAUAUUUUAAAAUCCAACGACAAGUUUAGAGUGUAAUCAAACUUGAUGAUAUGGCAAGUGGAUCACCCAAGUCAUUCGCAAUGUUAGUAUGCAUGUGUGCAAACUCUAUAUGUUUAUACUGUGUUCAAAAGAGAGAAGUUCAAGUUUCCAACUAAUAAUUUAUUCAACUAUGCCUACAUAUAGCAGAUUUGCUUAAGUCUUAUUUGACAUAGCUUUAAACGGCUUUGGCUUCUUGUUGCAGUGCGUGGAGAAGUCAGAGCUGGAGCUAGCGAAGUAAAAAAUAGUGGGUUCACCGGCUCUUAGGUCAUUUUUAGAGAAAAAAGGCUCCUCGCUAUAGUGUACCGAGAAGCUAGAGCCUGAGUCAUCCAAAUCGUUUCUAAUAGAUAGAGGCUUUAGUCUAAUUUAUUUGGGUUAACAUGGGCUAAUUUUUGGGCCAGCCGGCUCAGCUGAUGAAACGGAAACAGUGUACCAGCUGCCAGGGAAUGUUAAUAUUAAUAUCACGGUGAGGCCAGGUAUGAUGUGCAUAUCACACUGGAGUUUUCCCUGUCCAAAUACUACAUCAUUGUGUUCCUUAGAAAAAGAUCAAUCAUGCAUGAUGUUUCUCUACCCUGCGAAAAGGAUGCCAGUUGUUGAUGUUUUUACACGUACAUUCCUACAGUACAAUUCAGAAAUGAUUGUACUUGAUCAUAGUAUAGCACCCUUUCAAGUCUGUUCUACGUCGAUUUAUGGUCCAGAAUACGUAGCCUCUUGUAUACAUGAAGAUUUGUCUCGCUCACAUUAGGACCCAUGCAUCCGUGUGAGCAGUUUUCAUCAUGAGCCUGCAGCAGUGCACAGCUAGCAGCACGACCUGACCUGACCUGACCUGACCUGGAUUAGGGCCUGCUUGGGCUGGGUACAGGUUAGUUGAUGUAGUAGGCGUGAAACCUGAUAGGCUGAUAGCCCGUCCCGGUGCUGAUUUAUAUAGGUUUUAGUUUGCAGACUAAGAACUAUAAGAGCUAAUGUACUAUUGAUGAACCAAUCAAGAAGUGUCAUGCAAAUGUUGUUGUUGUCAAUCCAAAUCCAAAUGAUAAGCAAUCACAGUGGCAACUACCCAUGUCUUUAAAACUCUGAACUGUUUCUGGUCCAAGCUAAGGAAAAAAAAAACAGAGAAAAGAAAAAUGGCAGAUGCAUGCAAGGGCCAUAGUCUUUUUGAAGGUGAAUUGUAUAUAGGUGACAAGUGAGUGUCAUCCGGGGGCAUGUGCAUGUACCGCAAUUAUUGCAAGCAAUGUUUUAUUUUAUUUUUUUUGGCCUUAGAGUACUGGCCAAGCAGGCAUAGUGAUUUCAAUAAGCAAGUUUAUACACACUUAGUAUUCAUUUGUAUACCUUCCUGGACUUCUAUUCAUGACAAGUAGACAAUGUACUUGUCCCCUCCAAGGCUCCAACAAUGCAUUGCUGUGGGGCACUUAAAAAAAACGCAUUGGUGUGGACCUGUUGGGACUUGGGAGUUAGAUUAGCGCCAGCUAGUACUGAUCCCGGAUUGGAGCCAAAAAAAAAGCCUUUUCAAUAGGUAAAGUUCAGCGUUAUGCUGCUUAAUUAACCGAGGCUAAAGUUAGUUUAUUUAAAGGGACGCCGUUUAGAAGCUGCCGGCCGGCGGGCGGCGGCAUCGGCCAGGGAGAAAGAAUACUGGACGUGGCGGGUCGGCGGGCCGCGCGGCCACGUGAAAACGAGUACACGACGACGCCUUGGAUGGUUAGGGCGCAAAUUCUGCGGUCCGUGCUACAGCUAGUGUGAUGUGCUGGUCUAGGAGAAAUGAAAAAAAUUAAAAUACUUCCUCCAUCUCAAAAAAUAUAUAUUUUUAACUCUGUGACAUCGUGUUUGACCGCUUGUCUUAUUUAAAUUUUUUAUACAAAUUAUAAAAUAAAAAAAUUAUUAUUAAAGUAUCUCUAAUGAUUAAAUACUAUCAAAAUAGACGAUAUUUAUAUAAAAGAUUUUAAUAAAACGAUGGUCAAAUAAGAUGUUUAAAAGUCAAUAACAAUGGUCCUUUUGAAACAGAGGGAUUAUAUCAAUGUGAUGGGCUAAGAUAGAUGCUUUCAGAUGUGAAAAAAAAAUCACGUAGGGGUCCCAUCCCAUCGCCCAAUCAUUUUGGCUAUUAUCUAAAUAUAUAUUAUCAUACGAUCCAGCGUCUUCAGGCACAAAUGAUAGUGAUCAGUCCUUUUGUACUUUAGGAAAAUGUCAGCUGCGUGCUUUUUUGCGCCGCUGUGCAAAUGGGAUUUGUGAGCAUGCACCUUCGCGGUGUGUAGAUAGCACGAGAGAAUAUAUAAAGGGCAUCGAAUUAUCUGUGUGUAUAUAUAUCCAUGCAUGCAAGGAAAUUUAGAUGAUCUUUGGAGGAAGUUGUGAAGCAUUGAUCAACAUAGUCCUCGUUUGGCAAUAGUUUUUUUUUCUUUUCUUUAAGACAUAAUCAAUUUACAAGAAAUGAGGGUCCGUUAAUUAUUUUUAUGGGCAAAAUAUAGUGGAAUUAGUUAAAUAAUAUAACAUGCUAUAUAAAUGUGUGGCAAUAUUGUUAUAUACAGUGAGUUAUUUGGAUAGAUACCAUUAUAGUUUUGCAAGUUUUGGGAACCAUCAUCACUAUUUACCUGAGAUUUGCCACUACAAUUUGCUUUGUACCUAAUAUAUAACGUGUUGUAUGCUGUGGAUACCAUUGGACCCAUUCGCAGGCCAACAUGUUUUUGUAUCACCCAAAAUACCCCUCAAUCCUUCUCUCCUUUGUCAUUAGCGUGUGGACAACACACAUCACCUUCCUAUCCCCAUCUUCUUCCCCACGAUAAUCAGAGGUUGUAUGUUGAUGCCUUCUCUCUCUCUCACAUUGCACCACACAUGGAGCCUCUCACGUCGGCCUUAGGCUAGCUCCCACCACACCUAUGCUAUCGACAUGUCUCUAGUGCCUAUACAGCUCCACACCCAUGCAGUUGCCCAUCAAUGUAUUUGCUUCUUGCCCUUGGCUCGGUAGUGAUGAUCCGCAUGGUGCAAAACACAAUUGUCGACCUCACGAUGCUCUGGUACGUCCAAAAUGAGCAUCGAGUCCCACGUGCUCAAGGAGCGCAAGGAUGAUUAAGGGUGCCUGCGGAAGUUUCUGGGGGAGGAGGAUGGCCAAGGACCGAUGAGGAGGUGUGAGGAGAUUGACCAUGAUGCCCAUGGAGGACGAUGCCUAGAGGAGGAAGAAAACCACAUGAGUACUUUUGUUUAGACAAAAUUUUGUAGCCAUUGGACCCAAGGUCGUGAGAGACGUAGAAAGUGGCGUAUUUCAGGUAUUAGUAGAAUUGUAAUGGAAAAUCUCAAAAUAGGUAAAUAGUAAUGAUAGUUUUCAAAAUUACAAAACUAUAAUGGCACCAAUCCGAACAACCGUAUAGUUGGUGCCGUGUAAUUAUAUGGCAAUCAACUAAAAAAUUUAGGUCGUGUUUGGAAUGUUGCAAAUUUUCUCUACUAUUGAAUUUCUCUGUGAAACUAAUCCAAACUCCCGCGACAAUUCCAUGUAAUUCAUGUGAAAUUCAAUCAAUCCAAAUAGCUACACAACAAAAACUAGCUACAACAUGGAGCUAGGCUACUUACAAUGGGCAAGACUGAAGCUAUGCUAGUUUUUCCCCCUUUGUUUUUCUUUUGGGUCGUUGGUCUAAUGCUACGGUUCGAUAAGAUGGCCUUGUUUAGUUCACCCUGAAAACCAAAAAGUUUUCAAGAUUCCCCGUCACAUUGAAUCUUGUGGCACAUACAUGAAACAUUAAAUAUAGACAAAAAUAAAAACUAAUUACACAGUUUAGCUGUAAAUCACGAGACGAAUCUUUUGAUCCUAGUUAGUCCAUGAUUGGAUAAUAUUUGUCACAAACAAACAAAAGUGCUACAGUACCGAAAACUUUUCACUUUUCGGAACUAAACAAGGCCGAUGUUUGAGAGUCACUUUUGUGUCCUUGGUAAGGCCUUGUUUAGUUCGCAAAAAUUUUCAAGAUUCCCCGUCACAUCGAAUCUUUGGUCGCAUGCAUGGAGCAUUAAAUAUAGACGAAAAUAAAAACUAACUACACAGUUUACCGGUAAUUUGUGAGAUUAAUCUUUUGAGCCUAGUUACUCCGUGAUUGGACAAUGUUUGUCAAAUAAAAACGAAAUGCUGCAGUAGCUAAAAACAAAAAUUUUCGCGAACUAAACAAGGCCUAAGCCCAAAACAACAAAAACCAGCUACAACAUGGAGCUAGGCUACUUACAAUUGGCAAGACAGAAGCUAUGCUAGUCCCCCCCUUUGUUUUCCUUUUGGGUUGGUCUCAUGCUAUGGUUCAGAUAAGAUGUUUGAGAGUCACUUUUGUGUCCUUGGUAAGCCCAAAACAACAAAAACCAGCUACAACAUGGAGCUAGGCUACUUACAAUUGGCAAGACCGAAGCUAUGGUAGUCCCGCCCCCCCUUUGUUUUCCUUUUAGGUUGGUCUAAUGCUAUAGUUCUGAUAAAAUGCGUCCCCCUAUUUGUUUUCCUUUUUGGGUUGGUCUAAUGCUAUAGUUCAGAUAAAAUGCUUGGGAGUCAUUUUAUAUCCUUGGUAAGCCCGUAUAUGUAUUGUCGACCUGACUUUAAUGUGCAAAGAAAUGUGUCAACCUAAGAUUAAGGCAUGCUAGGGGCUUGUAGAAGUCAGCUUAGGCGUACUUCAUUUCAACUGCACUUUUUUUAAAAAUAAAAAAGGUUUCAGCAGCAAUGUGUUACAUAUAUUUUCUGUACUGAUACCCUAACAUAAUAUCCCAGUAAUAAUUCUUUCAACAAAAUACAUCUCAGGUAUUUUAUUUCUAUAAUAAAACACACAGGAGAGCCGUGUACCACGUUACCACUUGUAAACGCUAUGACAAUGCAAAACAAAAGUGGCAAAGGUAACACGGCACCGAGAGAGGCAUUUCGGGGCUCCAAGACGAGAGGCUUUCCUUUGCACCAGGGCUUGGCGAUAGCAAUAGUGGCGUCGACGGAUACGUCCAGCGGAUAGCCCAACGUCCACGUACACCGUUUUUGGUCCACCUACCAGCAGUUCUCGCGCGCCGCUCCGUCCGUCCGUCCAACCCCCGUCCGUCCCACCGAGAGACGACGACGACGAGGGCGACGGAGGAAAAGGCAAGCGACGAGCACGAAAAGCAGGAGGGAGGGCAACUCUCGUCUCGUCCCCAAAGGGCAGCGGCGCGUCGGCCCUCGGCAGAUCCAUCCAAACCUUCUCGCGAAACCCUCCAAAAGAAAUAAAAACAAACAAAACAAAAGCCAGGCGAGGAGAGAGAAAGGAGGAGAGAUAGAGAGAGAGAGGGGGACGGAAAAAAAUAUUUGUGGGUAGAGAAGAGAGAGAAGUAGUAGGGGGGUUGGGCGCGUGUGGGCCCCGCAUCCCCCCGCGGGUUUUACUUUUGGAGCCGCCCGGUUUUGUCGUCUCCUCCGUCCGUCCGCCCCCCGCCCCCCGCUAUUACCCCGCCCCCCCUCUCCUUCCUGUUCCCCUCCAUCUCUCCCUCGCCCCCUGUGCCCGCCCCCGCCUCACACACACGCACACACCCCACAGCCUACAGCGCUCCCUUCUGCUGCCUGCUUGCUCCAGCGCCCGCCUCUCCUCGAGCUGCCGCCGCGCGCGCGCGCGCCCCCGCCCGCUGCUCGUUCCUCCCGCCUGCUUGGCUCGGCGAGCCCUGCCAGCAAGAGGUUGGUGGGCGGCGCGGGGAUUUGUAUUGGAGGAGCCGAGGAGGGUGCUUGGCCGCGAGGAGAUCGGGGGCGCGGGAGGGUGGCCGCGCUCGGUUCAGCGGGAUCACUUGGCGCGGGGCCCAUGCCGUGAGCAAAAGCCAAGCUUUUGUUGCCCGGGGGAGAGAUCUUGCACUUGCCGCGGAAGUGAAGCCGGCGGUGCGGUCCCGAGCCGAGCGGCGCCCGCCCCCCGCCGCCGCCGCCAUGGCCGGCAGCGACGAGGUCAACCGCAACGAGUGCAAGGUGCGCGCGCGCCUCCCUCCCGUCGCUUCCGCUUCCUUCCUUCCUUCCUUCCUUGGGCUUCCUUGUAUAUAUACUAGUACUAAUUUCGUCGCGCGGGCAUGUCACCCCGCCGUCCUUGCGUCCGGCUCCCGCCCCUCGGUUGCGCGUUUCGGAAGGGGGAGGAGGCGUUCUUCGGCGGGCGGGUGCGCCAGGCCGCCGCUGCCGCCUGCCGCUUUAUGAUUCGGUGGAUUGGGGCCAGCGCUGGCCGGUGAUUUCCCGGUCAAUCGCUGCCUUUUCUUUCCCCUUUGGGCUCAACCCGCAAUUUUAUCCUCUUCGCACUUGCCCCCGUUGUUUUUGGAGUUUGGGAGGGAGUGGCGAGGAGGGAUGCCCACGGAAAUGGCUACCCAACAAGAGGGGAAGCGACCAAAUCAUGCCAAAGCUUCCAUCUUUUCGGGCAAGCGGAGGCCAAAGAUCGCCGCUCGCAUUGCCCUUGUCACCCAUGCGAGGAAACUGCAAAGGAAUACUACUAGCCGAAUAGCCGAAUAGGAAGGAUGGGAGGCGCUGCAACGACUGCCAUGUGUUUGUGUUUGUGUUUGUGAUGAGAGGGGGACUCAAACUGUUGCUGCUGUUGAUGUUGUGCAGGGUGCGGUGCCGAUCCACACAUGGGUGCUCAUCUCCAACUUCAAGCUGGCGUACAACAUGCUCCGGCGGGCCGACGGCACCUUCGACCGCGACCUCGCCGAGUUCCUGGACCGCCGGGUGCCGCCCGACGCGCGGGCCCAGGAGGGGGUCUCCUCGUUCGACCACGUCAUCGACACGUCCACCGGCCUCGAGGUCCGCAUCUACCGCGCCGCCGCCGCCGCCGCUAACAACAACGGUGGCGCGGCCGCGGUCACCCUGCCCAUCCUGGACUUCCUCGCCGGCGCGCCGUCCCCGGACCCGUUCCCGGUCAUCCUCUUCUUCCACGGCGGCAGCUUCGCGCACUCUUCCUCCGGCACGGCCAUCUACGACAACCUGUGCCGCCGGUUCGUGAAGCUGAGCAAAGGCGUGGUGGUGUCCGUCAACUACCGUCGCGCCCCGGAGCACCGGUACCCGUGCGCCUACGACGACGGCUGGACGGCGCUCAAGUGGGCCAUGUCGCAGCCCUUCCUCCGCAGCGGCAGGGGCGGGGACGCCCGCCCCCGCGUCUUCCUGUCGGGCGACAGCUCCGGCGGCAACAUCGCCCACCACGUUGCCGUCCGCGCCGCCGACGCCGGGAUCAACAUCUGCGGCAACAUCCUGCUCAACGCCAUGUUCGGCGGCACGGAGCGCACCGAGUCGGAGCGGCGGCUGGACGGCAAGUACUUCGUCACGCUCCAGGACAGGGACUGGUACUGGAAGGCGUACCUGCCCGAGGACGCGGACCGGGACCACCCGGCGUGCAACCCGUUCGGGCCGAACGGGCGGCGGCUCAGGGGGCUACCCUUCACCAAGAGCCUCAUCAUCGUGUCGGGCCUGGACCUCACCUGCGAUCGGCAGCUGGCGUACGCCGAGGGCCUCCAGGAAGAUGGCCACCAUGCCAAGCUCGUGUACCGUGAGAAGGCCACCGUGGGUUUCUACCUGCUGCCCAACACGGACCACUACCACGAGGUGAUGGAGGAGAUCGCCGACUUCCUCAGGGCUAACCUCUAGUACAUACUACUACGACAUCACAGCUGCCUGCCUGCCUGCCUGCUGAUCAUAAGACUCAUCGACCAGUGGUCGUCUCAGACACAAACUUCAACCUCUUGUUAUAGCAAGAAGAUGGUAAGCUUGACUUAUAGUUGUACCGAUCUGCUCUCCUCCUCCGCCUUAUACUGCUGCUGCUGCUGCUUGGGGGUAAUCUGCUGAAUUCCGGCGACGACGGCAAGGCAUUGCUGCUGUCCAUGGCCAAGUGGUGCACUCAAAAGGACAGCCAGCUCCAUAUUUCUGAUCUGAUGAUAAAAGCUCUAGUAGGAAAGGAAUCACGGUGACUUUUUGUUUCGUCGUCGGGUGAAAGUCGUUCUGCUGAUCA
rnacentral:lncRNA from 1 species